AUGCUUUGGAGGUGAUGGUGGUGGUGGUGGUGGAGACUUGUACUUAUAAGGAUGCUUUGGUGGUGAUGGUGGUGGAGGUGGUGGGGACUUGUACUUGUAAGGGUGCUUGGGUGGUGAUGGUGGUGGAGGUGGUGGAGACUUGUACUUGUAAGGGUGCUUGGGUGGUGAUGGUGGUGGAGGUGGUGGAGACUUAUACUUGUAAACUGGAGAUGGUGGGGGUGGAGACUUGUACUUGUAAGGGUGCUUGGGUGGUGAUGGUGGUGGUGGUGGGGACUUGUACUUGUAAGGAUGCUUGGGUGGUGAUGGUGGUGGAGGUGGAGGAGACUUGUACUUGUAAGGAUGCUUGGGUGGUGAUGGUGGAGGAGGUGGUGGAGACUUAUAGUUGUAAACAGGAGUUGGUGGGGGAGGAGAUUUGUACUUGUAAGGCUUCUUGUGUGGUGGUGGUGGUGGAGAGUAGACCGGAGGAGGCGGUGGUGGAGACUUGUAAUGGUAAGGUGGUGGUGGGUACUUCUUAGGUGGUGGUGGAGGAGAAGAAUAAGUGUAAUCUGCUGAGGUUUCAAAAGGCAAAUUGAGAGACACUGCUAAAACUAAAAGAGUGAGAAAGAGAGAGGUCAUUGAUGACCCCAUUUUCCCCAUCCUUACUUCUAAAAAUGGGUUUAAUUUGGUUAUGCUCUUAGCAGCCCUCUUCACUCCCUUUAUAUAGACUUUGUUUUAAAGUUACAAUCAUGAUAAAAGUGUGAAGGUGGACCGAACCUUCAGCAGCAUUGAAAAAAGACGUUACGUUUAGGUUAUUAGCAUGGUAUGACAUAAUAAUUCUCUAUUCUCUUCCUUGUCGUUUCCCAUAAAUUUAAUUUAAAUAGUCCAUUUGCUAUAUUUAUAUUUCUGUUUCUCUAUUAAAUAUUUAUCAAAUUCAUUUCUCACUCCUUAUAGAAUAUGAAUAAUUAAUCAUUAAACUCGAUUUAGUAAAUACUUUAAAAAAUGAUUUAUCUUAUUUUUAUGCUUUAAUUAAGGCAUCAAAUCAUUAAUCCCAUUUGAUAUUAUGAAAAUUUAUCACUUAAUUGAUCAAAAUGUGAUUCUUGGCAGGAAAACAUAAUUUACUUUCCUUAAAAUGUAAUUUUUAUUGAGAGUUAUUUUUCCACUAACAAUAGAAAGUGAUUCUCUUUAUAAUUCGUGAAAAAAUUACUUUCACAUGUAAAUAAAAAUUGUUAGGAUAAAAUUAACUUUUCUUUUAUUUAUGUUAAGGUUACUAAUUAACUUAUUCAACUUUAAUAAAAGAUAAACAUAGUUGUAGCUUGUUUGUUGAUGUUAGUUUUUUGUCUUUACAACUUCAAACCAUUAUUCUAGUGUAAUUUUUUUUUCUUUCUAAAUAGUAGAUAAGUAUCUAUAUUUUAUUUUGCUAUAAGAAAAUUAUAUUUUUUAGCAUACAAAACUUAAGAUAACUUGUAGAAUCAAGUAGUUGUAUACCUAUUACUCUAGCAAUAAUAAUAUUGACAUUGUCUACUUUCAAAUUAAAAUUUCAAAUUAGUUCAUUGCCCAAUUUUCUCAUUAAAAAAAAUUAUAUAUAACAUGUCAACUUAACGAAACUUACAUGAAAUUUUGUAUGUGUUAAAAAUGAAAAAUAUGGCGGUUAUUAAAAAAGAUGUCAUACAUCUAAAUCAAACUACUAAUUUAAAAAUUAGUAUUGAGAUAAUUUCAAGCCAUAUAUGCAAUAUUUGAGUAUACUUGAACUUAUACAUACAAAUUAGUGAGGAUUAAAAUUUUGUAAAUUGUACAUCUUCACAAUCUUGCGUUAAUAUACAAUUUUUUUAAUGUAUUAAUAUAAUGUUUUAGAUCAAGACGUGAAAAAACAUAAUUCAAAUAUUUGUUAAUAGUAAAAAAUUAUUAAUAAAUAUUUAAUUCAAAAUUUAUUAAUAAUAAAAAUUAUUGAAAAAUAUUAAAUACGUUAAUAUUAUUUUUAUUUAAUAAUGAUACUUUUGUACAGUAAUCUUAUAUUCCCAAAUAAGUGUUAAAUGUGUCAAGAUUUUAAUCAAUACUUUCCGGUGAUUACCAAACGUUGUGAAGUAACUUCUUAAACAAUAAUAUUCUUAUCAAUCACAUUCCAUUAAAAUUUUAACAUAGAAAAGCACCAAAACGCCCCCUUAAAAUCGUGGUAAGUCUUGUUUGUCUAAAAUUUAAAUAUUUAUUUUAUUAUUUAAAAUAUAUUAAUUUUCUAAAAAAAAUCAUUAAUAUUUAUAUUUCUAAUUUUAAACAUUCUUUUGUUAAUUAAAUGAUAGUCUAAACGGUUAAACUCAAAUCGAAAGCAUUUUAUCUUAUAUUAGAUUAUAUGAAUCAUAUUAUGGUUGAAAGUAAAAUGUAUAAAAUCAAUACAAACAUCAAAUAUUAAACUUCCACUCAAUAGAUUUUAAAAUUUCUAAUUUUAUCACUAAUCUAUUUUAAGAUUUUUUUAAAAAAAAUCGUACUUUAGAUUAUCUAAUUUAAAAUUUUAUAAAAUUAUUAAAAAAUAUUCUUGUAAUAAAAAAAAUUUGUUUUAAAAUUUUUAAUUUUUUAUAUAACCAAUGAAUUUUUUACGUUUGUUUUAACUGGUUAUCUAAACAAAAUAAAAACUUAUUUAGUUUAAAUAAAGUGGUAAAUGUGAAAGCACCACAAAUCACAACUACAUUAGUUUUAUAAUUGGAUUAAUUUAAUCACCGGCAGAGGAAAUGUGUUAGUUCUAGCUACCAACAAUUCAUUUUAAUUCCUUUAAAAAUAUUAGAAAAAACCAAUUUGAUUUUUAAUAAUAGAUCUAAUUACUUAAAGGAACAUGGGUGAUGUGCACAUGGCAUACAAGCAUAAAAAAGAACAAAAAGAUUAAGUAUCUUUGCAAAAUAUCUCUCUCUGAAAUAAAUAAAACUUAAAAAAAAACAAUUUUAUUAUCAAAAUAAAAAGAAAAUAGUGUUUUUCUUCACAAAAAAAGAAAAGAAAAGAAAUACUAGUGUUUUUAAUUAAAAUAGAGUGAUCUGGGUAGAAUCUUUUACUUAAAUACUGACAUUGACUUUAUAAGCUAUUUUUUAUCAAAAGAAGAAAGAGAAAAGCAUCCGAUUGAAGAUGUGAAUUAUUAAGUUAAAAUUAAUCAUACAUGUAAAAUAUUAUUGUGCUUUUUUCUAGCCCUCCGAAAGACAUUAUGCUUUGAUUACAACAUUCUUCCUCAGAGAUGAGGUUUGAAGAUGAACUCGGAUGCAUUUAGAUUUUUACAAGACGAAAGUAAAUUAAAGGAUGUUAGUACUUGUAUUCCGAUACGCUUAUAAUACAGAAAGCAAGUAAUAUGUGACUGUACAUAAUGGCUAUGAGGCGAGGAUAUGAUACGAGAAGAUAGAGAUGAGAGAUUGCACUUAAGGGGUUAGCACCUCUUUUCUUUUUGUGUUUGGUCCCCAAAGCAUAUCUCUUAUUGGCUGAUGUUGCAAGGCGGUCCCAUAAGUUGGGCUAAAAGUGCUUGAUAGCUAGAAUUAAUAUUGUGGUAUAACAUAUGUCACCCCUAUAUUUGAAUAAGGUUACAAAGUGACUACUUGAAGAUUUAAAAAAGCAUGGAGAUAAUUUUGUUGCGAAAAUUAAAAGUAAGAGCUAAAUUGUUUGGCUUUAUUAGAGUAUAGACUCUGUUAGUCUAUUAUCAUUUUGUUAUAUAGGCUGGAAUAUUAUUAGUAAGCAGUUAGCAGCAGUUAGUCAUACAAGUAUAAAUUCUAUUCAUGUAUUGUUCAAAGAUAAGCUAAUAAUACCAGAAGAGAUUUAACAUGUUCAUUCUACUUUUUUUUGUUAUUCUUCAUAAUACAGUUGUUAACAUGGUCUCAGUCGCCAAAUUUCUUGGAGGUUGCUUCUAUUGUAGAUCCAUGGCCAAUUCCACUGAUUCUACCUUCGCUGGUCGUAGCAGUCCCUCAUUCUCAGUUCAUGUUUGGUUCAAUCGUUUCCUCGUCAUGGCACUGUGAAGUUAGAUGAAGGAAAUUUUGUACAAUGGCAACAGCAUAUCCAAUUGAUAAUUGAAGGAUAUGAACUCAUAAGAUUUUUAGAAGGGACGUUACCUGCUCCGCCUCGCUUUGUGUCAUCUCCGGAUGGAAACUUAGCUCUGACUCCCGAUGCAUCCCUGUUUGUUCAGCAAGAUAAGUUACUCGCUUAUUGGUUACUUUUUACGAUUAGUGCUCCUUUGUUUUCUUGUUUUACAACUGCUAAGACGGCGUGUGAGGUUUGGAGCACUGCGAAUUGCCUAUUUGCUGCUGCCACUAGAGCCAAGCUUUCGCGUAUUAAGCAUGAACUCCAGUCCAUCACGAAAGGCGUGAUGACUAUCAAAGAGUAUAUUGCUAAGAUUCAAAAUACUUGUGCGUUACUCGAGGAAUCUAGAUCAGUGGUUUUAAAGGCUGAAAAGGUAGAGAUCAUUCUUGCCGGCCUAUUGUCUGAUUAUGAUGUCGUUUUAACUCUGGCAUCGUUCUCAACUGAAACUUUUUCGUUAUAAAAGAUUGUUGAUAUGCUUCUGGAGUUCGAAAGCCAUCAGACUCAAGCGGUGAACGACGUACCUUUUCAUGCUCAUUUGGUAGAGGCCACUUCGGCGACAUCCGUGGAGGACUCCGUACGUGGUGGUCGUCCUCCUUCUGGUGCUCGUAGGCGCGACUUUCGAUCUCAGCUUCAGUGCCAGGACUAUGGUUGCUAUGGACAUUUGGUACAAUGCUGUUAUUAUCAGUUCAACCGCGACUACAGUGAUCUGUCUGUUUUGACCAUGGCGCGGGUUUCGCCUGUUCAUGCUGAUCACAAUUAGCAUAACGAUGUUUUUGGCGCAAGUGGUCUCUCGACUAGCUGGUUUUCAUCAACUUGUCCUGGUCCGGACCCGUUCGUGCCUGGACAGUAUGUCGAUUCUUUGGUGGUGACACCGGCGUAUUUCUCUUAUGGCUCAUCAUGGUGAGGGUGGCCACAUUUGCAAAACAAUGCCUCCCUUGUGCCAAGUUUGUUGAAUGUUAAGGUUUCUAACCCUUUUGCUCAUAAUUUUGACGAUGGGGCAGGCUAGGUGUUUGGGCUCGCUGUUGGACCAAGCUCAAAUUGUGGCCAAUUUGGUGGUCCUCACUUACCGCGGAGAAUGGGCCAGCACGUUAGGCCAUUUGCUAGUGUUCCUAGGCCGACUGGUUCAGGCCAAGAUUUUGGGCCAUAUGGAAUUCGUAGGCUAACCAGUGCUGGUCCUAACAUUGGACAGGGUUCACUUGGGCCAAAUGUUAAUUUUGUUAGACUUGAGGGCUCUUUUGGGCAUGGACAAGGACUUUGGCCCACCACUGGCAAUGUUUCAGUGCCAAAUAAUGGGUCAUGCGUUCCAUGGCGCACUAAACUGACGGCGCACAUUAUUGAUUGAUUUCUCACUGUGUGUUGGGUUGCCUCACAUUCUUGAUUUUCAUGUGUCUGAUAUUUUUACUACCUCUGGGUCCAAUGCUAACACGACUCCGUAUGGGUCUAAUUUUGAUAAUGAUAACUCUUACAUUCCUAUGCCUGUAGGGACCUUGUCCUGGUGUCUUAAUUCAGGGUCUAUACAUCAUGUCUAUCGAGAAGCCUCUACCUUGAACGAGUCUACGCCAUACUCAGGUACAUCUCCUCUCCUCAUGGAUGAUAUUACUCCUACAAAAAUAUCAUGUGUUGGAAACUCUAUCUUGCCUACGAAGACUAAGCUGUUUCAUCUAUCUAAUGUUUUGUGUGUGCCAAAUAUACGGAAGAAUCUGCUAUCUGUCUCUCAAUUUGCUAAUGACAAUAAUAUGGUCUUUGAAUUUCACCCGUCUUAUUGAGGACAUCCAGACUCAGGAAAUUUUGCUUCGGGGCCACACUCGUGAUGGGCUCUAUUAUUUUUCGUAGGUUACUCAUGUUCCGUCUGUCGUUGUUCCUUCUGUUCACAACACUGGGCUCCAGAGUCGCAAUGCCGGUGAUGAUGUUUUUACGUUAUGGCACUACAGACUUGGUCAUCCGUCUGCCUCGAUUGUUAAACUUGUUCUCGAUAAGUGUCAAGUUGUUUCAACUAAAAUGUACCUUGAAAAUAUUUGUAUUGCUUGUCAAAAGGGGAAGUCCCAUAAACUGUCUUUUUCAAGUUCUACUACUAAAUAUACGGAUUUGUUUGAAUUGGUUGUCUUUGACUUAUGUGGACUGGCAUCUGUUGUCUGUAGAAAUAAUCUGUAUCAUGUUUCGUUUAUCGACAUGUGUAGUUAUUUUACUUGGAUUUAUCUCAUUAAACGUAAUUCUAAGGAGGUUGAAUGUUUUCUUCAGUUUCAGAAAAUGGUCAAAACUCAGUUUGGGAAAGAUAUUAAAAAAAUUCAAAGUGAUUGGGGUGGUGAGUUUCUUGCCUUUACGUCAGUUCUGGCUAGUCAUGGGAUACUUCAUCACCUCUCCUGUCCAUAUACAUCCGAGUAGAACGAUGUAGCUGAACGAAAACAUCGACACAUUGUUGAGAUGAGUCUUAUUCUAUUGGCCAAAGCUAACCUAUCCAUGGAUUUCUGUGGUUUCGUAUUUUACAAUGCCAUUCAUCUCAUUAGUCUUCUACCGACCCUAGUUCUGAAAGGUCAGUCUCCAUAUCAGGUUCUUCAUGGUAGUGACCCUACAUAUGAUCAUUUACAAGUAUUUAAGUGUUGUUGAUUUUCGUACCUGCGUCUGUUUCUGCAACACAAGUUGGAUUUUCAUUCUCAGCCAUGCAUAUUUUUUAGGUAUAGUUCUCAACAUAAAGGCUAUCACUGCCUCACACCAAAUGGUAAGGUCAUUGUCUCUCGUCAUGUUGUGUUUGAUGAACGUUGGUUUUUCUUUUCUUCAAAUGCUGUGAACACCGUUCAGUUAAGUCCAUGUAUCUCUACAUAUGUUCCUAUUGUUCGGUCUUCAUCUUGCCGCCCCACGACAUCUUCGCUUGUUCGACCCACUGAGUCAUCGACUCUUGCUCCUAAUUGUAGUUCCACGCUGUCUGUUUCAGUUGACACUCCGGCUGAAUUAGGUUUUACUCAUGAGGUGCAUCGGCUCUCUACCUCAUCCCUUGAAUCUCGUCAAUGCGAUCCAACUACAAUUCCAUUGGCUGUUCCAUCUAUUUCUCUGGAAUACUCAUAACACUAUUACUCAGCUAGACCCAAAGCUCUGUCUGUUGAAAUUGUCAACUGUGAGUCGAUCACGAUUGAAGAGGCGCUCGCUAGUAAGGAAUGGCAAUUAGUUGUCCAAGCUGAGUUUGUUGCUAUAAUGGUUAACUCCACUUGGGAGCUUGUUCCCUUACCUCAUGGUCGAAAAGUGAUUAGGUGUAAGUGGCUUUUUAAAAUAAAAAAAUCCUGAUGGGACUAUCACUUGACGUAAGGCUCGGUUGGAAGCAAAGGGUUGUUCUCAGGUACUCAGGUGUGAUUUCAAGGAAACCUUUAGUUUGGUAGUUAAACCUGCUACUAUUAGAACCAUAUUAUCUGUUGCUAUCUCCAACGGUUGGCAAUUUGGUCAGGUAGAUGUGAACAAUGCUUUUUUAAAUGGUGAUCUUAUUGACGAAGUGUUCAUGCAGCAACCUCUAGGCUAUGUUCAGAUUGGUCAAAAUGGUGAGCCCUUGGUGUAUCAUUUGACAAAGGUGUUGUACAGAUUAAGACAAGCUCCACGUGCUUGGUUUGAUAAAUUGAAACGUUUUUUUGUUUCUAUUGGAUUUGCUUUAUCCAAAUCUGAUGUAUCCUUAUUUGUUCAAGUUAAUUCGAAUCCACUAUUUAUGUUUUAGUCUAUAUGGAUGAUAUUAUCGUUACUAGAAGUACGAUCGACGGUAUAAAUGGCUGUAUUCAAUAGUUACAUAAUGUGUUUCCCUUAAAGAUAUGGGAGAUCUUUACUACUUCUUAGGCAUUGAAGUCACUCGGUAGUCCACUGGGAGUCUCCAUUUGUGCCAACGCAAAUACAUUCGGGAUCUUCUUGACAGUAGUUUUUUAGCUAAUGCAAAGAGUGUUCACACACCGAUGGUUAGUUCUUUUACGUUGUUUAAAGAUGUGGGAGAUCGCCUCGUUGAUCCUACUGGAUAUAGAAGUCUUGUCGGUGUAUUACAAUAUGUGGUCUUGACUCUGCCUGAUAUUGCUUAUGCUAUAAAUCAUGUUUGUCAAUUCAUGCAUGCCCCUACUACAGUACAUUUGGUGGCUUUGAAAAGAAUCUUGCACUAUUUAUGUGACACUAUUAAUCAUGGGUUAAUUUUGUCUGUUCAACAUAUUGUCUUUAGUUGGCUAUGCUAAUGCCAACUGGGGACUGGAUUUUGAUGAUCGUAAAUCAACAACAAGCUAUUGUUUGUAUUUUGGGUAUACACCCAUCUCUUGGUGAUCUAAGAGACAACUCUACUGCGUGAGGCGAAGUAUUUUGGCCGCACCAUGGCUGAGGUGAAGUAUCGAAGUCUAGCAACAACUACCAGUGAUGUUACUUGGUUAGUCUCUCUACUAACAAAAUUACAGAUUCAUUCUAUAGAUCCACAUACUAUUUGGCGUGACAACUCUAAUGCAGUAGCGGUCAUUGCUAAUCCGGUCUGACACUCUAAAUUUAAACAUGCCAAGCUUGAUCUAUUUUUUGUUCGCGAAAAGGUCGCUAAUGGUUCUCUCGUUGUCGGUGAGAUUCUAGCAUGUGAUUAAGUUGCUGACAUUCUCACAAAACCACUGUUCGUCUCUACUUUUGCUAGGUUUCGUAGUCUGCUUCAAUUCUUACCUCUUGAGAAGCUGGGUGAAGCCAGGUGAAUAUUAGAGUAUAGACUCUGUUAGUCUGUUACCAUUUUGUUAUUCAGGCUGGAAUAUUGUUAGUAAGCAGUUAGUCAUAGCAGUUAGUCAUACAAUUAUAAAUUCUAUUCAUGUAUUGUUCAAAGGUAAGCUAAUAAUACCAAAAGAGAUUUAAUGUGCUCAUUCUACUUUCUUUGUUAUUCUUCAUAAUACAGUUGUUAACAUGCUUGAUAUCAUCUCUUAGAGAGAACGAGGAGAGAUAAGAGUAAGAGUAUGAGCCAACUAGGGAUAAGGCUCUACCAUAAUACCUUGGAUGCAAUUAAAGUAAGAGUAAGAGCCAACUUGUUUGGCUUGAUAGCAUCCCCUUAUAGAAAAGGCUCUACCGCAUGGCAUGAGAGCAAUAAAAGUAACACUCAAUUUCUUGGGUUGAUAGCAUCUCCUUAGGGAAAAGGGUUUACCAUGUGACAUGAAAGCAAUUAAAGUAAGAGUAAGAUCCAACUUGUUUGUCUUAAUAGCAUCAUUUAAGAGAAAUAUCCCAAUCAAUUUAUUCAAAUAUGUUAAUCAAAUAAUGCAAGUUACAAUGUUCUGUCAGUUUUUCCUUUAAUUGUAACUGGGUUAAAGUUGGUAGUUGUAACUGCUACUAAUAGAAUGGAUACGGUAGAAAUGGUUGCAAGCAACAUAAGCAAAGAUGACUUUAAUGUCUUUGUAUUGACCACGUGAGAACUAUAGAAUGCAGAGAAUAGUAUGGUGAUUGGCAACAGAAUGCUACUAACCUUGAGGAUAGUAGACAGGGAUGGAUCCACGGGGGUUGGGGGCGGUCCCCCCUUGGAAUUUUUAAAAUUUUAAAUUUUAUAUAUAAAUUAUCAUGUAUUUUAAAUUUGGUGUCCACAUUGUAUAGCAUUCACCCCCCUUUUCCAAAUUGCAUUUCAUAUCAUUUGCCCUCUUAAGCCAUAAGGUUAUACUUUAUAUUAACAAAGUAUUUUCCAUUUUUUAAUUAUAUAAAUUUAAUAAUAAUAAUAAUAAUCAAAUAUUAAUAUAUGAUUGGCAUUGAAAGACUAAACAUAAAGGUCCAGUUGAGACUUUAAAGCCAAAUUCCAUAAUUAAUUAAUUGAUUUGGCCCAUACCAGUACAUAUUAGGUUAGCGAAAUUCUUGUAUUUUGAUUUGUAUGUCUUGCUAAGGAAUUAUCUUCCUUUGGUAAGGUGUUGACACUGCCAAGAGAAAAAGAAAGGAUUUUGAUGUCGAGAUUGUGAGCAUAGAGUAAAAAAAAUACAAAUUAUCUUCCUCUUAGCUCCUUAUGGAAAAAACCUCUCGGUAAAUAUUUUUGCAUAAAUUAUGUUUUUUAUUAAUUUGACUUAGUUUUUUUCUUUUUUCCUAAUACAUUGUUGUUUAAUAUAUUCUUACAAUCAUCAGGUUUUUUGACUAAAUUAUGGUCAAUAAAAACAUCGAAUCUAUUUAAAAAAAAAGAGUGUCAGAAAGCAAUAAUGAUCAACCGGUUCCUCAACCUUCCAUUAUUAGUGAAGAAAAAUCAAAUAUCGGAUCUUCCAAAGCUCUUGAACAAAAUAUCAGGUCUUCUUAAGCCCAAGCUCCUAAAUGCGGUAUGGAGUCUUCCCCAACUCCUGAACGAGAUUGUAACAAUCCAUACCCAAUUCGAUCACCAAAUCCAAGUAGAGAGCGCCGCAACUUAAACCAUAUGAAUUGAAUAAUAAAUAUUUGAAAUUUAUUAAAGUAUCGAGUUCUUGGUGUAACCCUCAGUAUAACAAUACGAAACAAUUAAAUCAAUGAUACGCCAGGAAAAAAUGUUUUUAGGCAAAACACAUGGCGGAAGCCUUACAAAAUUUUAUAAGUUUAUAUAAAAUGUAAGAUGAGUUAAUCCCAUACAACAGUUUCAAGUGCAUCGUUGGCGGUUAAAAGAACAUUCAAAAACUAUUCGGCGUAUAUGCCAAUGAGACAAUCACGUGGAACAAGAUAUAGUAGCUUAAACACAUACAUCACUUACCACGUCAUCAUAACAUAUACUAACCAUAUAAACAAACUUAUCGAGCUGCGAACUAACAAGUUCACCCAAACAUCUAGGGUUAGCGAUAACUUAUUAGAAGAGCCCGCCAAACCCUAGAGUUCGCCAAAACCUGGAGUUCACCAAAUGGCGACUCCCAUAGAAUACGCCAAACACACAACCAAAAAUAAAUACUCUACUAAUUUACUCAUUUUAUAUUCUUAGCAUAAACAACUAUGCACCAAACAGUAACUUGAUACAUUAUCUUUCGGGCGAGUUGUUACAAUUCUCCCCCAUUUAGAAACUUUUGUCCUUGAAAUUCUUACCGGUGAAUAACUGAGGAUAUUGUUCUUUCAUCGAACUCUCUCUUUCCCAAAUGGCUUCUUUUGUAUUGUGAUUUAUCUAUAAUACAUUAACCAAAGGAAUUCUUUUACUUCUCAACUCUUUUACUUCCCUUGCUAAAAUACAAACAGGUUCUUCUUCAUAGGACAAGUUUUGCUCCACUUCCAGUGCUUUGACUUGUACCACAUAAUCUGGAUUGGAUUGAUAUUUUCUUAACAUAGAUAUAUUAAACACAUUAUGUAUAUUUGAUAACUCUGGUGGCAACACCAGUUUGUAUGCCACUGGACCAACUUAUUCCAAAAUCUCAUAUGGUUCUAUGAAAUGCAGACUUAAUUUCCCUUUUUGUUCAAACCUUAUGAUCUUCUUCCAAAGAGAAAACUUCAUAAAUGCAUUGUCACCCACUUCGAAAGAGAUUAUUUUCCUUUUUAGAUCAGCAUAAGCUUUCUGGCGAUCUUAAGUUACUUUCAGAUGAUUUCUAAUGAUAAAGACUUUCUCUUCUGUUUCUCAUACUAAAUCAAGACCAACUAUUUUCCUUUUACUGAGUCUCAUCCAAUAGGUAGGAGAUCUGCACCUUCGUCUAUACAAAGCUCCAAAUGGUAACAUUCCCAGACUGUCAUAAUAACUAUUAUUAUACGCAAACUCUAGCAAAGGAAGAUAUCUUUCUCAAUUCAUUCUAAAAUCUAUAAUACAACCUCUAAACAUGUCUUCUAGAACUUGAAAUACUCUUUCAAAUUGCUCAUCGAAUUAGGGAUGAAAGGUAGUACAGAAUCAUUAUUUCGUUCCCAACGAUUCUUGCAGUUGUCUCCAAAAUCUCAAUGUAAACAUUGGGUCUCGAUCUGAAACUAUGGAUGUUGGAAUCCCAUGAGGCGUACAACUUCAGAAACGUAGAGAUUAGCCAACUUUUCCAAUAAGUAAUUUGUGCGGACAAACAAGAUAUGGGCUAACUUAGUAAGUCGAUCUACAAUUACCUAGACUGAGUACUUCUUCGAAAGGAUGAGAGGGAGAGCCAAAACAAAAUCCAUGGUGAUCUUAUCCCACUUCCACAUAGAUAUCUCUAAAAGGUACAACUUGCCUAAGGGAACCUGAUGUUCUAUUUUAAUCUGCUGACAUGUCAAACAAAUGGAAAUGUACUUUGUUAUUUCUUUCUUCAUUUCAAGUCAGUAAUACAAACUUAUCAAAUUAUGAUACAUUUUAUGUAAAACUCUCAACCCAACUCGAAAUGUCGAGUCUGGAUCUCGGGUAUUACUAUACAUAAUACUUGGCAAAAUAUCAAAAUAGUUGACAAAUACUCUUUAUAGAAAACAUUUUCUUAUUAUUUUAACCAAAAGACUAAAUAUUUAAUAACAAGAGAAAAUAUUAAAAACAAAAAAAAAUUAUUACAUCAGACUUGGUACAACUCAUUAUAGUAUAAAAUUUUGUUAAAGACAUACUCUUGGGGCAUAACCCUAAUCUAAGCCACUUUUCCACUAUAUGCAUAAUAACCCACUUCGCCACUAUCUUGGCGUACUCCUAGCAUCGUCACUCCUAAUGCAUUCUCUACCCAUACACCUGAAAACAACAACAUUUUAAGCUUAAGAUAACUUAGUGACUUUUAUCCCAAAAAUACCUUGGCGAGUACUUUAUAUUAUUUGAAGAACAUUUGUGCGCCAUCUAUCCUUCUGAACCACCUUCUUCUGAAUUAAGUGGAUACUAUUAUAGAUUCAACUUUCACUUACACGCCAACUAUCAUACUCUUAACAAACUCACUUAUUCUAGAAUAGUUGUUCACAUAUAUUAAUCACUAAUUGAUACAUUCAUAUUUGGCGAAUACUUACGCAGAUCUGAAUACCAUCAAACUACUAAUCAAAUCAUACCUUGAUCCGAUACCAUACAAACUCAUACUGAUAAUGUACUACACAAAUUAUUCAAAUGAAUUUUCCACUACUUUGUUACAGGACCCCAGAUAAUCAUCAUAACAAUAACUCAAUUUUCAUAUGAUUUCAGAAGAAGAUAUAAUACAACCCAAAUACGGCAAAUUCCAGAUAACUCAGAUUCAACAACUGCUUAACACAUACGAACUCACAUUUAUAAUUUCUUAUGUCCCACAUAACUACGACUAUGUCUAUAUUCAACACUAACAAAUAAUCAUGACGGAUACCCUUCUUAUACAUAUAUGCAUUUCUUUUCUAGAAAUCUCUUAAGACUUACUCAAUUAUAUCACAUAUCUUAUUCAACCCUUAACUUUAGACAUAUCAUAACCCUAUCAUAUCAAUAUCUAUCACAAAAAAAAUCAGGAUUUAUCCAAAACUUACCAUAAAGGUAGAUAAUCAUAUUAUAUCAGACAAACUUAACUAAAUGUGCCACAAAGGCCAAACAAAAUAUGCCUUAAAGGCUUCAUACAAAAUCACGUGUUUACUAUCCCGACGGACUAUCACAAAAGGUGUCAUGGGUUUCUCCCACAUGGACUUAUACAUAAUUUCAUGUAUUGUGAUCUGCCAUUUUGAAUCAUACGUUAUCGAAGGAUACUCCAUAAGCAUACAUACAGACAUAUCUUGCCAUGUGUCUCAGCCACAUGGCUUAAACACACAUUCAUGUACUGUGAUAUGUCAAUCCAGUCUUACUCUUAUUAGAGCCUACACCAUGAGUGUUUUCAAAUCAUAUUAAGAUGUUGUAGGUCUCAACCUCAUAGUCUUACACUUGUUUUCAUAUCGUGACCUGCCAGUCUAGUUAGCAAUAUAAUUGCCUACCAGAGGCUUCAUAGAGGAACAUUUGCUUAGAUUCACUUACCUAGAUGAUCUGUAACACCCCUUACCCGAGACCGUUGUCAGAGUCGAGCACGAGGUAUUACUUAUCUUAUCUUACUAACUCGAAGCAUAAAAACUUGUUUUAAAAAUUAAUUUCACUAUUUAUAGCAAUUUGUCCAAUCGCGCAGCAGUUACUAAAUUAAUUAUAACUCGAGAUACGGAACUUGAAAUUUAACUCCGUAAAUUUUCCCUGAAACUAGACUCAUAUAUCUUCCUACCAUAAAAAUUUUAGGAUUUUUAGUUUAUCAAAUUAGUACAGUUUAUUAGUUAAAUUCUCCCCUGUUUCACAAAUCGACUGCCCUGACCUCUUAUCACUAAAAAUAAAAUGUAUCAUUGUGGGAUUUUCGUAUAGUGCUACCGCUUGCUUCUACAGAAAAUAGACUCAAUAAGGAAUCUAUACAUAUAAACUACAACUCAUAAAUAUUUUUUUAAAAUUUUUAAUGAUUUUAUAAACUCAAAACAGGGGUCACCAAAAACUGUUCUAACCCUGUCUCACCAAAAUUCACAUAUCUUAAAAUAUAAAUUCCUUUUGCUACACCGUUAUUUUUAUGUGAAAAUAGACUCAACAAGAUUUAUGUCAUUCAAUAUUUAAUUCAUUUUAUACUAUCCUAGGUGAUUUUUCAAAGUCACGUCACUGUUGCUGCCUGAAUUCUGUUUCUUUGCAAAAUUUUACCCUUUUAUGAUUUCCAUGCAUAGUUUAUCACUUAGACUCUUAUAACAACAAACACUUCCAUACUUAACCAUUUUAGCAACCAUUCAUCAUCAAAUACUUACACAUCAUUCUUUAGCAAGAUCAUAAAUACAAACAUUUAAAAUAACUAAAUCCCUUUACAUUCCAUACUCAACAUGGUUCAACAUAAAAAUACCGAGUUGCUGUGGUUGAUAGUGUGGACGAUCUCCGACUUCUUUAGGAUCCUUGAAGUAACCUUGCAAUACUAUAAGAGAAAGAGAAAUAAAAGACGUAAGCAUAAAGCUUAGUAAGUUUACUAGCAAAUAAAUAACAAUAUUUAACUAGAUAAUUAAACUCAAGUGUCUAUAUCUCUAGUUUACUAUUUAGUUAAUCUCAUUCUAGUUCUCUUGCUUGUUUACUUAGUAUACUUGUGUGCAUAACUUACUCCUCUCUUGCUGUAUAGUUGAAUAUCAAUUGAUAAUAUAAUAAGUUAUUAACUCUUAUAACUUACCUGAACUUGCCAUUUAUGUUUUUAACUGAACUUUCCUGAACAUGAUUCGUUAUUUAGCCCGUUGAGCUACAUUGGAACAAUAAGGAUACUCGGGUCUCUUCUGAUAAUAACAUGCCAAAGCCAUGUCCCAGACAUGGUCUUACAUGGGAUGUACUCAUGUCGGUGCCCAUUCCAUAUCCCAGACAUGGUCUUACGGGGGACCUCUCAUCUCGGUGCCAAUGCCAUGUCCCAGACAUGGUCUUACAUGGGACCUCUCAUCUCGGUGCCAACGCCAUGUCCCAGACAUGGUCUUACAUGGGACCUCUCAUCUCGGUGCCAACGCCAUGUCCCAGACAUGGUCUUACAUGGGACCUCUUUACCCAAAUGUCAUGACAUUCGUAUCCAGUACCAUCCUUACUAUUCAUGACAACCGAUAUAUAUAUAUACAUACUCACUAUUCACAAGGACUCGAACGAUUAUAUACUCAUCAACCACCUUAAAACAAUGUUCAUAAACUUAUCCAUUUCAUAUAAACAAAAGCAUAUAUAUUUAUAACCAAUGCAUAGAAUCACUUAAUUUAAACAGAUUCACUGGCACUUCACCUGAUAGGCUUAUAGUUUAAUUCAGUUCACCGGCACUUAGCCUACUAGGCUUGUAGCCUGAUUCAGUUCACCGGCACUUAGCCUGCUAGACGUAUAGUCCGAUUCAAUUCACCGGCAUUUAGCCUGCUAGACGUAUAGUCUGAUUCAAUUUACCGGCACUUAGCCUGCUAGACGUAUAGUCUGAAUAAUUUUACUGGUAAUAAAUCCGAUAGUAAUUUCUCCGUUGAAAUUGAAUUAUAUUCAAUUCUGCGUAACAAACAUGCACUUAAAACAUACUUGCAUAAUUCACAACAAUAAUUUCAGUCCAAAGAGCUGUAAUUCAUAUUCGAACUAUAUAUAUAUAAAUCCAUACAUAAAAAUUCAACUCAAAAUUUAUAACCUAUAUCUUUGAACCACAUAGGUACAUGAAAUUCAAACACCAAAAUCCAGCUCAAUAACUUCAUGAUUCAACCUAACAAAUUUAUGUAUAUAACUUUUUAUCUAAUUUCAAUACAAUAACUUAUACAUGUACGUAUAUACAUAUUCGAAUCUAACAUAUACAUAUAUAAUUUCAUACUUAAAUAUAUUCAAGACUUAUUCAUGAGUAUACAUAUAUAUUACAACUCACAUGUACAUAUAUAUACACAUUCAUACCUUUAACCAAGUCCAAGGCUUUAUACAUGUAUAUGCUUAUAUAUAUAUAUUCGGACCUUAUGUUUACAUAUAUAUAUUAUAUAAAUACCUUUGAUUAAAAACAAGUAUUUAUACAUAUAUAUAUUUUCGAACAUGAUACAUAUAUAUUUAUAUCAUUCAUACUUAAACAAAAUUCAAUCCAUAUACUUUCAAUUUCAGCUCACCAAAUUACUAUAGAUAUACAUGCAUAUAUACUGAUUUAAUAACCUCAAAUUGCUAAUAGACUUACCUCGGAUAUCAGCGGACACGAUCGAGUAUUCGAUUACUUUCGUUUUUCCCCGAUCCAAAUUCGUUUUCUUCGUUUUUUAUCUUAAUUAGACCUAGAGAUAGCCGAACCUUGUUGUUCUCUUUUCUUUUCUUUUCUUUUUCUUUUCUAUAUUCGGCCAAGAUGAAGAACAUGGCAUUUAAAAUUUGUUAUAUUAAACAUAUAUUAGCCUUAUUUUUAAUUUACUAUAUUAACCUUUACAUAUAUAUAACAUAUAUAAUAAGGUUACAUUAGUCCUUUGCCACCCACUAACUUACAUAGUGGACUAAUUGCAUAGUAAAACCUCUAAAUUAUAAAGACAACAAGAAUUAGGUCCUUUUAUAAUUAACCCCUAAAUUUUCAUUUUACGCGAUUAAGCCCUUUUAUUAAAUCGGACACUUAAACGACGAAAUUAAAACACGAAAAUUUCACACAAUCAAAUGCAUACAAAACAAUAUUAAUAAUAUUUUUCUAAUUCAAAUUUGUGGUCCCGAAACCAGUAUUCUGAUUAGGGUCAAAAACCGGGUUGUUACAACUCUCCCCCCUUAGGGAUUUUCGUCCCCGAAAAUCUUACCGGUGAAUAGGUUUGGAUAACGCUCUUUCAUUGUAUCUUCUAACUCCCAAGUUGCUUCUUCAACCCCAUGUUUAUGCCACAACACUUUAACUAACGGAAUUUUCUUAUUUCGUAAUUCUUUGAUCUCACGAGCCAGAAUGCUAAUCGGUUCUUCCUCAUAUGUCAUAUCAGAGUUAAUUUCAAUCUCCGUCGGACUAAUCACAUGUGAAGGAUCAGAUCGGUAUCUACGAAGCAUCGAAACAUGGAAUACGUUAUGAAUCUUUUCUAACUCAGGCAGUAACAUCAAUCUAUAAGCAACCAAUCCAACUCGCUCUAUAAUCUCAUACGGUCCAAUGAAUCUCGGACACAAUUUGCCUUUACGACCAAAUCUGAGUAUUUUCUUCCACGGUGAGACUUUUAAAAACACUUUAUCCCCGAUCUGAAAUUCUAUAUCCUUUCUUUUCAAAUUCGCAUAAGAUUUCUGACGAUCCGAUGCUGAUUUCAGACUGUCCCGAAUCACUUUCACUUUCUGUUCGGUCUCUUUAAUCAAAUCAACCCCGUGUAUCUUAUUUUCACUGAGCUCGGUCCAAUACAGUGGUGUACGACAUUUACAACCGUACAAAGCCUCAUAAGGUGCCAUUUUGAUACUAGAUUGAAAGCUAUUAUUAUAAGCAAAUUCAAUCAAAGGUAAGUAUCGUUCCCACGUACCUUCAAACUCGAGAAUGCAACAUCUCAACAUAUCCUCAAGUAUCUGAAUGAUUCAUUCAGAUUGACCAUCUGUCUGCGGAUCGAAAGCUGUGCUAAAAUGUAGUUUCGUACCUAAAGCAUCUUGUAGUUUCUUCCAAAAUCGCGAUGUGAAUCUCAGAUCUCUGUCUGAAACAAUAGAAAUAGGUACACCAUGCAACCUCACAAUUUGUGAAAUAUACAAUUCCGCAAGUUUAUCGAGCGAAAAAUCUGUACGAAUCGAAAUAAAAUGUGUCGAUUUUGUCAACCUAUCAACAAUAACCCAGAUUGCAUCUAUCUUGCUCGGUGUCAACGGUAAAUCGGAUACAAAAUCCAUCGUGACUCGAUCCCAUUUCCAUUGAGGUAUCAUGAUCGGCUGAAGCAACCCAGAUGGUACCUGAUGCUUGGCUUUAACUUGCUGACAAAUUAAACAUUUCGAAACAAAGUCAGAAAUGUCUCGUUUCAUACCUUGCCACCAAUAGUGCUGUUUCAGAUCGUUAUACAUUUUCGUGCUACCCGGAUGAACAGAAAAUCGACUACUAUGAGCUUCCUUCAAAAUCAUCUAAAUUAACUCUGAUUUUUUCGGAACACAUAAUCGGUUUCUAAAUCUCAAACAAUCCUCAGCAUCAACUAAAAACUCCGAAUCAAUAUUUAAGUCACAUUGAGCUCGUUUUGCAGUUAAAUCAUUAUCGACCUUUUGAGCUUCACAAAUCUGUUGUACAAAUAACGGUUUUGCUUUCAACUCAGCUACUAUCGCACCAUCAUCAGACAUAACCAUAUGUGCGUUCAUUGCACGCAAAGCAAACAGUGAUUUUCGACUUAGGGCAUCAGCAACAACAUUAGCCUUUCCCGGAUGAUAGUCAAUCACAAGCUCGUAUUCUUUCAGCAAUUCUAACCAUCGACGCUGUCUCAAAUUCAGAUAUUUCUGAGUCAUCAAAUAUUUCAGGCUUUUGGGAUCGGAAUAAACAUGACAUCUUUCACCAAACAGAUAGUGACGCCAUAUUUUUAACGCAAAUACAAUAGCGGCCAAUUCCAGAUCAUGUGUCGGAUAGUUUUUUUCAUGCGGCUUUAACUGUCUCAAGGCAUAGGCUACAACUUUGCCUUCCUACAUCAAAACACAACCCAAACCAUUUAAAGAUGCAUCACUAUAGAUAACAAACUCUUUACCCGAUUCGGGUUGAACUAAGACUGGAGCUUCGGUCAAAAGAACUUUCAACUGAUCAAAGUUUUUCUGACACUUUUCUGACCACUCGAACUUAACGUCUUUUUGUAGUAGCUUUGUCAUCGGGGUCGCAAUCAUAGAAAACCCUUUCACGAACCGUCUAUAAUAACCAGCGAGCCCCAGAAAGCUUCGAACAUCAGAGACAUUUCUCGGAGGUUUCCAAUCAAGUAUAGCUGAAAUUUUACCUGGAUCAACUCGAAUACCCGAUGCUGACACAACAUGGCCCAGAAAACUAACUUCACGUAACCAGAACUCGCAUUUACUGAACUUUGCAUACAACUGUUUAUCUCGCAAAGUUUGUAACACAAGUCUCAGAUGUUCAGUAUGCUCGGUUUCAUCACGAGAGUAGAUCAAAAUAUCAUCUAUAAAUACUACCACAAAUCGAUCCAGAUACUGUCUAAAAAUCUGAUUCAUCAAAUCCAUGAAAACAGCAGGUGCAUUAGUAAGUCCAAAAGGCAUAACCAAGAACUCAUAAUGUCCGUACCUCGUUCGGAAAGCUGUCUUUGGCACAUCAGAGUCUUUAACUCGCAACUGAUAGUAGCCUGAUCUCAGAUCUAUCUUCGAAAACACAGUAGCCCCUUUCAACUGAUCGAACAAAUCAUCAAUCCGUGGUAACGGAUACUUAUUCUUUAUAGUCACCUUAUUGAGUUGCCGGUAAUCAAUGCACAUUCUCAUUGUUCUGUCUUUCUUUUUCACAAAUAGAACUGGUGCACCCCAAGGAGAGAAACUCGGUCGUGUAAAACCUUUAUCAGUCAACUCUUGCAACUGUACUUUCAAUUCUUUUAAUUCGGUCGGUACCAUACGGUACGGAGCUAUCGAAAUUGGAGUUGUCCCUGGUACUAACUCAAUACCAAACUCUACCUCUCGAAUAGGUGGCAAACCCGGUAAUUCUUCGGGAAACACGUCUGAAUACUUACACACUACUGGCACAGAUUCAAUCUUCUUUUCGGUCACUUUACUAUCAAGAAAAAAUGCAAGGUAAUCUUCACAACCUUUUCUCACAUACUUCUGAGCCGACAUCGAGGAUAUUAUUGCUGGUAAACCAUUCAGAUCAUUAGAUUCAAUCCGAAUAAUCUCAUCAUUCUGACACCGUAGAUCAAUAGUUUUCCGUUUGCAGUUUACUAUAGCAUUAUGCAGAGUUAACCAAUCCAUACCCAGAAUUAUAUCAAACUCGUCAAAUGGUAGCAACAUCAAAUCAGCCAGAAAACAUAAAUCUCGAAUCAUCAACGGACAAUUCUUGCACACUUUGUCAACCAAAACACACCGGCCCAAGAGGUUCAAUACUUUAAUUACAAACUCAGUAGACUCAACAGGCAAAGUCUUACUGAAUACUAAAGUCUCACACACAUAAGAAUGAGUCGAACCAAGAUCAAUCAAUGCAAUAACAUUAGUAUCAUAAAGAGUGAAAGUACCAGUAAUAACAUCUGGAGAAGAAGCCUCCUCCCGAGCACGGAUGGCAUAUGCUCUGGCAAGUGCACGAGCCUCAGAUCGAACUGCCAUGUCCUUUGUUCCUCUCUGACUGCCACUUACAUUACUCAAUUGCCUCGGCGGUCUACCUCGUACAGGUACUUUACUCGGUCUGGUAUUCUACACAGUGUUUUGCUCAGCUACCAUCGGACACUCUCGAAUGAAAUGAUCCUUUGAACCGCACUUAAAGCAAGACCGAUCAUGUAAUCUGCAAUCUCCAGGAUGCCAUUUCCCACAAUGCUUGUACUCUGAUCUAUUUUGUCGAACACUACCAACGCUAGCAACUGAAGUAGCUCGUGAACUCACAGGGGGUCGAUCUCGAUCAUACUUAGGAAACCCUGCAGUAGCUUUAGAUCGGCUAUGAUCCUCUCUGGAUUUCAUUGAGGUCGACUGGAAUGAUUUACUGAAUGAUCUUUUACGAGAAUCUCGAGCUUCAUAGCCAGCUUUCCUCUUCUCUUUACUGAGCUCCUUAACUUUACAAGGUCGUUCAACAAGUACUACGAACUCUUUUAUCUCAAGUAUACCAAAUAACAGUUUAAUAUCUUCAUCCAGCCCAUCUUCAAAUCUUUUACACAUGAUAGCUUCAGUCGAAAUACAUUCUCGAGCAUAUCUACUGAGUCUCACAAAUUUCCGCUCAUAUUCUAUCACUGUCAUACGACCCUGUUUCAAUUCAAGAAAUUCCUUAUGCUUCUGAUCAAUGAAUCUUUGGCUGAUGUAUUUCUUACAGAACUCAAUCUGAAAGAAUUCCCAGGUCACUCGCUCUUUCGGAACCACCGAUACUAGUGUAUUCCACCAGUGAUAUGCAGUGUCCCGUAGCAAAGAUAUGGCACAUUUCAAGUACUCAUCAGGGGUGCAAGAUAACUCAUCAAACACUCGAAUAGUAUUAUCAAGCCAGAAUUCAGCUUGCUCAGCAUCAUCAUCAUCAGUAGCUCUGAACUCUUCGACCCCGUGUUUUCAAAUUUAGUCAACAGGAGGCUUAAGUAAUCUCAUCGGAUCACUUACUUGAGGUAUAAUAGGAAUCGAAGGUGGAUUAGUCGGGGGUGGAGUUUGUUGUGCAACCGGAUUAGUUCGGACAUAUUGAGUAAACCAGUCAUUCAUCAUUUGGUAGAAGGCUUGUUUAGCCUCUCCCUCCUGGUUACUCGAGGUCGGUCGAGAAUCUACCAGCUCUGUCCCUUGUGUGGGAGCAGGCGCUAUACUCUCAACAUCAUCGACUACGGCUGGAUCGGGAUCCAUUACUAUACGAAAACACAUUUUUAGACAUCAGCAGUCAUCGCACUAUCUUGGUAUAAAAAUAUGGCAUGUAUAGCUAGACUCAUACAUGCUACAUUAGUCCAAGAAUCGAUUAAACCGUAGCUCUGAUACCAAUAAAAUGUAACACCCCUAACCCGUAUCCGUCGCCGAAUUAGGGUUACGAGGCAUUACUGAACAAAUACAACCAUUUUUAAAACCAACUGAUCACAAACAUGAAAAUUAAAUCAUUUUCACAUAGCUAUUUAUAAUUUACAAUCAACAUCUAACCAACAUCGUACUCAAACCUAUACAUGCCAUAAGAUCAAGUUCAAAUAUUUAACAAAAUACCAAAAGGGGUCGAAAGUGUGAUAGACUAUGCUGAUGAUCCCCGAGCUCGUAACGCAUCUCCAAAAUCUAUAAAAACAAAUGGACAAAAACAAUCAAAGUAAGCUUUUAUAGCUUAGUAAGUCUAUAGCAUAUCUAAAAUACAUAUAAAAGAAUCAUAUAAUUCUUAAAAUAAAUUUAUUGAAAUCACAAUUAUCAAUUAUAAUUACUAAUCGAACAUUGCUAUAUUAAGUCAUCUUGUUUAAAUCUAAAAGGAUGUGUAUUUAUCUAAUACACAUGAACGGACAAAUGUAUAUACAUUAUAUGCAUAUAAUCAAUUUACUAACAUAAUCAUUAAUUGCAUAUACGGAUUUCUAUAGUACUUAUUGUUCGCACUUAAUCGGAUCCAUUUAAAUAUAAUUGUUCAAAUACAUAUACCAAAAGCAUAAUAAUUUUAUACUUGAUCAACUAUAAGUGCCGAAUGCACAUAUACACCUAUACCCACCUAUGCCGAAUGCAUACAUAUAUACACAUAUAUAUAUAUCCAACAAUUUCGUGACAACCGAUAUAUAUAUACAUACUCACUAUUCACAAGGACUCGAACGAUUAUAUACUCAUCAACCACCUUAAAACAAUGUUCAUAAACUUAUCCAUUUCAUAUAAACAAAAGCAUAUAUAUUUAUACCCAAUGCAUAGAAUCACUUAAUUUAAACAGAUUCACUAGCACUUCACCUGAUAGGCUUAUAGUUUAAUUCAGUUCACCGGUACUUAGCCUACUAGGCUUGUAGCCUGAUUCAGUUCACCGGCACUUAGCCUGCUAGACGUAUAGUCCGAUUCAAUUCACCGGCAUUUAGCCUGCUAGACGUAUAGUCCGAUUCAAUUUAUCGGCACUUAGCCUGCUAGAUGUAUAGUCUGAAUAAUUUUACUGGUAAUAAAUCCGAUAGUCAUUUCUCCGUUGAAAUUGAAUUAUAUUCAAUUCUGCGUAACAAACAUGCACUUAAAACAUACUUGCAUAAUUCACAACAAUAAUUUCAGUCCAAAGAGCUGUAAUUCAUAUUCGAACUAUAUAUAUAAAUCCAUACAUAAAAAUUCAGCUCAAAAUUUAUAACCUAUAUCUUUGAACCACAUAGGUACAUGAAAUUCAAACAACAAAAUCCAGCUCAAUAACUUCAUGAUUCAACCUAACAAAUUUAUGUAUAUAACUUUUUAUCUAAUUUCAAUACAAUAACUUAUACAUGUACGUAUAUACAUAUUCGAAUCUAACAUAUACAUAUAUAAUUUCAUACUUAAAUAUAUUCAAGACUUAUUCAUGAGUAUACAUAUAUAUUACAACUCACAUGUACAUAUAUAUACACAUUCAUACCUUUAACCAAGUCCAAGGCUUUAUACAUGUAUAUGCUUAUAUAUAUAUAUAUUCGGACCUUAUGUUUACAUAUAUAUUAUAUAUAAAUACCUUUGAUUAAAAACAAGUAUUUAUACAUAUAUAUAUUUUUGAACAUGAUACAUAUAUAUAUUUAUAUCAUUCAUACUUAAACAAAAUUCAAUCCAUAUACUUUCAAUUUCAGCUCACCAAAUUACUAUAGAUAUACAUGCAUAUAUACUGAUUUAAUAACCUCAAAUUGCUAAUAGACUUACCUCGGAUAUCAGCGGACACGAUCGACUAUUCGAUUACUUUCGUUUUUCCCCGAUCCAAAUUCGUUUUCUUCGUUUUUUUAUCUUAAUUAGACCUAGAGAUAGCCGAACCUUGUUGUUCUCUUUUCUUUUCUUUUCUUUUUCUUUUCUAUAUUCGGCCAAGAUGAAGAACAUGGCAUUUAAAAUUUGUUAUAUUAAACAUAUAUUAGCCUUAUUUUUAAUUUACUAUAUUAACCUUUACAUAUAUAUAUAACAUAUAUAAUAAGGUUACAUUAGUCCUUUGCCACCCACUAACUUACAUAGUGGACUAAUUGCAUAGUAAAACCUCUAAAUUAUAAAGACAACAACAAUUAGGUGCUUUUAUAAUUAACCCCUAAAUUUUCAUUUUACGCGAUUAAGCCCUUUUAUUAAAUCGGACACUUAAACGACGAAAUUAAAACACGAAAAUUUCACACAAUCAAAUGCAUACAAAAUAAUAUUAAUAAUAUUUUUCUAAUUCAAAUUUGUGGUCCCGAAACCAGUAUUCUGAUUAGGGUCAAAAACCGGGUUGUUACAACUCUCCCCCCUUAGAGAUUUUCGUCCCCGAAAAUCUUACCGGUGAAUAGGUUUGGAUAACGCUCUUUCAUUGUAUCUUCUGACUCCCAAGUUGCUUCUUCAACCCCAUGUUUAUGCCACAACACUUUAACUAACGGAAUUUUCUUAUUUCGUAAUUCUUUGAUCUCACGAGCAAGAAUGCUAAUCGGUUCUUCCUCAUAUGUCAUAUCAGAGUUAAUUUCAAUCUCCGUCGGACUAAUCACAUGUGAAGGAUCAGAUCGGUAUCUACGGAGCAUCGAAACAUGGAAUACGUUAUGAAUCUUUUCUAACUCAGGCAGUAACAUCAAUCUAUAAGCAACCAAUCCAACUCGCUCUAUAAUCUCAUACGGUCCAAUUAAUCUCGGACACAAUUUGCCUUUACGACCAAAUCUGAGUAUUUUCUUCCACGGUGAGACUUUUAACUUGCUCGGUGUCAACGGUAAAUCGGAUACAAAAUCCAUCGUGACUCGAUCCCAUUUCCAUUGAGGUAUCAUGAUCGGCUGAAGCAAUCCAGAUGGUACCUGAUGCUCGGCUUUAACUUGCUGACAAAUUAAACAUUUCGAAACAAAGUCAGAAAUGUCUCGUUUCAUACCUUGCCACCAAUAGUGCUGUUUUAGAUCGUUAUACAUUUUCGUGCUACCCGGAUGAACAGAAAAUCGAAUACUAUGAGCUUCCUUCAAAAUCAUCUGAAUUAACUCUGAAUUUUUCGGAACACAUAAUCGGUUUCUAAAUCUCAAACAAUCCUCAGCAUCAACUAAAAACUCCGAAUCAAUAUUUAAGUCACAUUGAGCUCGUUUUGCAGUUAAAUCAUUAUCAACCUUUUGAGCUUCACAAAUCUGUUGUACAAAUAACAGUUUUGCUUUCAACUCAGCUACUAUCGCACCAUCAUCAGACAUAACCAUAUGUGCGUUCAUUGCACGCAAAGCAAACAGUGAUUUUCGACUUAGGGCAUCAGCAACAACAUUAGCCUUUCCCGGAUGAUAGUCAAUCACAAGCUCGUAAUCUUUCAGCAAUUCUAACCAUCGACGCUGUCUCAAAUUCAGAUAUUUCUGAGUCAUCAAAUAUUUCAGGCUUUUGGGAUCGGAAUAAACAUGACAUCUUUCGCCAAACAGAUAGUGACGCCAUAUUUUUAACGCAAAUACAAUAGCGGCCAAUUCCAGAUCAUGCGUCGGAUAGUUUUUUUCAUGCGGCUUUAACUGUCUCAAGGCAUAGGCUACAACUUUGCCUUCCUACAUCAAAACACAACCCAAACCAUUUAAAGAUGCAUCACUAUAGAUAACAAACUCUUUACCCGAUUCGGGUUGAACUAGGACUGGAGCUUCGGUCAAAAGAACUUUCAACUGAUCAAAGUUUUUCUGACACUUUUCUGACCACUCGAACUUAACGUCUUUUUGUAGUAGCUUUGUCAUCGGGGUCGCAAUCAUAGAAAACCCUUUCACGAACCGUCUAUAAUAACCAGCGAGCCCCAGAAAGCUUCGAACAUCAGAGACAUUUCUCGGAGGUUUCCAAUCAAGUAUAGCUGAAAUUUUACUUGGAUCAACCUGAAUACCCGAUGCUGACACAACAUGGCCCAGAAAACUAACUUCACGUAACCAGAACUCGAAUUUACUGAACUUUGCAUACAACUGUUUAUCUCGCAAAGUUUGUAACACAAGUCUCAGAUGUUCAGUAUGCUCGGUUUCAUCACGAGAGUAGAUCAAAAUAUCAUCUAUAAAUACUACCACAAACAGAUCCAGAUACUGUCUAAAAAUCUGAUUCAUCAAAUCCAUGAAAACAGCAGGUGCAUUAGUAAGUCCAAAAGGCAUAACCAAGAACUCAUAAUGUCCGUACCUCGUUCGGAAAGCAGUCUUUGGCACAUCAGAGUCUUUAACUCGCAACUGAUAGUAGCCUGAUCUCAGAUCUAUCUUCGAAAACACAGUAGCCCCUUUCAACUGAUCGAACAAAUCAUCAAUCCGUGGUAACGGAUACUUAUUCUUUAUAGUCACCUUAUUGAGUUGCCGGUAAUCAAUGCACAUUCUCAUUGUUCCGUCUUUCUUUUUCACAAAUAGAACUGGUGCACCCCAAGGAGAGAAACUCGGUCGUGCAAAACCUUUAUCAGUCAACUCUUGCAACUGUACUUUCAAUUCUUUUAAUUCAGUCGGUGCCAUACGGUACGGAGCUAUCGAAAUUGGAGUUGUCCCUGGUACUAACUCAAUACCAAACUCUACCUCUCGAAUAGGUGGCAAACCCGGUAAUUCUUCGGGAAACACGUCUGAAUACUUACACACUACUGGCACAGAUUCAAUCUUCUUUUCGAUCACUUUACUAUCAAGAAAAAAUGCAAGGUAAUCUUCACAACCUUUUCUCACAUACUUUUUUGCCGACAUCGAGGAUAUUAUUGCUGGUAAACCAUUCAGAUCAUUAGAUUCAAUCCGAAUAAUCUCAUCAUUCUGACACCGUAGAUCAAUAGUUUUCCGUUUGCAGUUUACUAUAGCAUCAUGCAGAGUUAACCAAUCCAUACCCAGAAUUAUAUCAAACUCGUCAAAUGGUAGCAACAUCAAAUCAGCCAGAAAACAUAAAUCUCGAAUCAUCAACGGACAAUUCUUGCAUAUUUUGUCAACCAAAACACACCGGCCCAGGGGGUUCAAUACUUUAAUUACAAACUCAGUAGACUCAACAGGCAAAGUCUUACUGAAUACUAAAGUCUCACACACAUAAGAAUGAGUCGAACCAAGAUCAAUCAAUGCAAUAACAUUAGUAUCAUAAAGAGGGAAAGUACCAGUAAUAACAUCUGGAGAAGAAGCCUCCUCUUGAGCACGGAUGGCAUAUGCUCUGGCAAGUGCACGAGCCUCAGAUCGAACUGCCAUGUCCUUUGUUCCUCUCUGACUGCCACUUACAUUACUCAAUUGCCUCGGUGGUCUACCUCGUACUGGCACUUUACUCGGUCUGGUAUUCUGCACAGUGUUUUGCUCAGCUACCAUCGGACACUCUCGAAUGAAAUGAUCCUUUGAACCGCACUUAAAGCAAGACCGAUCAUGUAAUCUGCAAUCUCCAGGAUGCCAUUUCCCACAAUACUUGUACUCUGAUCUAUUUUGUCGAACACUACCAACGCUAGCAACUGAAGUAGCUCGUGAACUCACAGGGGGUCGAUCUCGAUCAUACUUAGGAAACCCUGCAGUAGCUUUAGAUCGGCUAUGAUCCUCUCUGGAUUUCAUUGAGGUCGACUGGAAUGAUUUACUGAAUAAUCUUUUACGAGAAUCUCGAGCUUCAUAGCCAGCUUUCCUCUUCUCUUUCCCGAGCUCCUCAACUUUACAAGGUCGUUCAACAAGUACUACGAACUCUUUUAUCUCAAGUAUACCAAAUAACAGUUUAAUAUCUUCAUCCAGCCCAUCUUCAAAUCUUUUACACAUGAUAGCUUCAGUCGAAAUACAUUCUCGAGCAUAUCUACUGAGUCUCACAAAUUUCCGCUCAUAUUCUAUCACUGUCAUACGACCCUGUUUCAAUUUAAGAAAUUACUUACGCUUCUGAUCAAUGAAUCUUUGGCUGAUGUAUUUCUUACAGAACUCAAUCUGAAAGAAUUCCCAGGUCACUCGCUCUUUCGGAACCACCGAUACUAGUGUAUUCCACCAGUGAUAUGCAGUGUCCCGUGGCAAAGAUAUGGCACAUUUCAAGUACUCAUCAGGGGUGCAAGAUAACUCAUCAAACACUCGAAUAGUAUUAUCAAGCCAGAAUUCAUCUCGCUCAGCAUCAUCAUCAUCAGUAGCUCUGAACUCUUCGACCCCGUGUUUUUGAAUUUUGUCAAUAGGAGGCUUAAGUAAUCUCAUCGGAUCACUUACUUGAGGUAUAACAGGAAUCGAAGGUGGAUUAGUCGGGGGUGGAGUUUGUUGUGCAACCGGAUUAGUUCGGACAUAUUGAGUAAACCAGUCAUUCAUCAUUUGGUAGAAGGCUUGUUUAGCCUCUCCCUCCUGGUUACUCGAGGUCGGUCGAGAAUCUACCGGCUCUGUCCCUUGUGUGGGAGCAGGCGCUAUACCCUCAACAUCAUCGACUACGGCUCGAUCGGGAUCCAUUACUAUACGAAAACACAUUUUUAGACAUCAGCAGUCAUCACACUAUCUUGGUAUAAAAAUAUGGCAUGUAUAGCUAGACUCAUACAUGCUACAUUAGUCCAAGAAUCGAUUAAACCGUAGCUCUGAUACCAAUAAAAUGUAACACCCCUAACCCGUAUCCGUCGCCGAAUUAGGGUUACGAGGCAUUACUGAACAAAUACAACCAUUUUUAAAACCAACUGAUCACAAACAUGAAAAUUAAAUCAUUUUCACAUAGCUAUUUAUAAUUUACAAUCAACAUCUAACCAACAUCGUACUCAAACCUAUACAUGCCAUAAGAUCAAGUUCAAAUAUUUAACAAAAUACCAAAAGGGGUCAAAAGUGUGAUAGACUAUGCUGAUGAUCCCCGAGCUCGUAACGCGUCUCCAAAAUCUAUAAAAACAAAUGGACAAAAACAAUCAAAGUAAGCUUUUAUAGCUUAGUAAGUCUAUAGCAUAUCUAAAAUACAUAUAAAAGAAUCAUAUAAUUCUUAAAAUAAAUUUAUUGAAAUCACAAUUAUCAAUUAUAAUUACUAAUCGAACAUUGCUAUAUUAAGUCAUCUUGUUUAAAUCUAAAAGGAUGUGUAUUUAUCUAAUACACAUGAACGGACAAAUGUAUAUACAUUAUAUGCAUAUAAUCAAUUUACUAACAUAAUCAUUAAUUGCAUAUACGGAUUUCUAUAGUACUUAUUGUUCGCACUUCAUCGGAUCCAUUUAAAUAUAAUUGUUCAAAUACAUAUACCAAAAGCAUAAUAAUUUUAUACUUGAUCAACUAUAAGUGCCGAAUGCACAUAUACACCUAUACCCACCUAUGCCGAAUGCAUACAUAUAUACACAUAUAUAUAUAUCCAACAAUUUCAUGACAACCGAUAUAUAUAUACAUACUCACUAUUCACAAGGACUCGAACGAUUAUAUACUCAUCAACCACCUUAAAACAAUGUUCAUAAACUUAUCCAUUUCAUAUAAACAAAAGCAUAUAUAUUUAUACCCAAUGCAUAGAAUCACUUAAUUUAAACAGAUUCACUGGCACUUCACCUGAUAGGCUUAUAGUUUAAUUCAGUUCACCGGCACUUAGCCUACUAGGCUUGUAGCCUGAUUCAGUUCACCGGCACUUAGCCUGCUAGACGUAUAGUCCGAUUCAAUUCACCGGCAUUUAGCCUGCUAGACGUAUAGUCCGAUUCAAUUUACCGGCACUUAGCCUGCUAGAUGUAUAGUCUGAAUAAUUUUACUGGUAAUAAAUCCGAUAGUCAUUUCUCCGUUGAAAUUGAAUUAUAUUCAAUUCUGCGUAACAAACAUGCACUUAAAACAUACUUGCAUAAUUCACAACAAUAAUUUCAGUCCAAAGAGCUGUAAUUCAUAUUCGAACUAUAUAUAUAUAAAUCCAUACAUAAAAAUUCAGCUCAAAAUUUAUAACCUAUAUCUUUGAACCACAUAGGUACAUGAAAUUCAAACAACAAAAUCCAGCUCAAUAACUUCAUGAUUCAACCUAACAAAUUUAUGUAUAUAACUUUUUAUCUAAUUUCAAUACAAUAACUUAUACAUGUACGUAUAUACAUAUUUGAAUCUAACAUAUACAUAUAUAAUUUCAUACUUAAAUAUAUUCAAGACUUAUUCAUGAGUAUACAUAUAUAUUACAACUCACAUGUACAUAUAUAUACACAUUCAUACCUUUAACCAAGUCCAAGGCUUUAUACAUGUAUAUGCUUAUAUAUAUAUAUAUUCGGACCUUAUGUUUACAUAUAUAUUAUAUAUAAAUACCUUUGAUUAAAAACAAGUAUUUAUACAUAUAUAUAUUUUCGAACAUGAUACAUACAUAUAUUUAUAUCAUUCAUACUUAAACAAAAUUCAAUCCAUAUACUUUCAAUUUCAGCUCACCAAAUUACUAUAGAUAUACAUGCAUAUAUACUGAUUUAAUAACCUCAAAUUGCUAAUAGACUUACCUCGGAUAUCAGCGGACACGAUCGACUAUUCGAUUACUUUCGUUUUUCCCCGAUCCAAAUUCGUUUUCUUCGUUUUUUUAUCUUAAUUAGACCUAGAGAUAGCCGAACCUUGUUGUUCUCUUUUCUUUUCUUUUCUUUUUCUUUUCUAUAUUCGGCCAAGAUGAAGAACAUGGCAUUUAAAAUUUGUUAUAUUAAACAUAUAUUAGCCUUAUUUUUAAUUUACUAUAUUAACCUUUACAUAUAUAUAACAUAUAUAAUAAGGUUACAUUAGUCCUUUGCCACCCACUAACUUACAUAGUGGACUAAUUGCAUAGUAAAACCUCUAAAUUAUAAAGACAACAACAAUUAGGUGCUUUUAUAAUUAACCCCUAAAUUUUCAUUUUACGCGAUUAAGCCCUUUUAUUAAAUCGGACACUUAAACAACGAAAUUAAAACACGAAAAUUUCACACAAUCAAAUGCAUACAAAAUAAUAUUAAUAAUAUUUUUCUAAUUCAAAUUUGUGGUCCCGAAACCAGUAUUCUGAUUAGGGUCAAAAACUGGGUUGUUACAACUCUCCCCCCUUAGGGAUUUUCGUCCCCGAAAAUCUUACCGGUGAAUAGGUUUGGAUAACGCUCUUUCAUUGUAUCUUCUGACUCCCAAGUUGCUUCUUCAACCCCAUGUUUAUGCCACAACACUUUAACUAACGGAAUUUUCUUAUUUCGUAAUUCUUUGAUCUCACGAGCCAGAAUGCUAAUCGGUUCUUCCUCAUAUGUCAUAUCAGAGUUAAUUUCAAUCUCCGUCGGACUAAUCACAUGUGAAGGAUCAGAUCGGUAUCCACAGAGCAUUGAAACAUGGAAUACGUUAUGAAUCUUUUCUAACUCAGGCAGUAACAUCAAUCUAUAACCAACCGAUCCAACUCGCUCUAUAAUCUCAUACGGUCCAAUGAAUCUCGGACUCAAUUUGCCUUUACGACCAAAUCUGAGUAUUUUCUUCCACGGUGAGACUUUUAAAAACACUUUAUCCCCGAUCUGAAAUUCUAUAUCCUUUCUUUUCAAAUCCGCAUAAGAUUUCUGACGAUCCGGUGCUGAUUUCAGACUGUCCCGAAUCACUUUCACUUUCUGUUCGGUCUCUUUAAUCAAAUCAACCCCGUGUAUCUUAUUUUCACUGAGCUCAGUCCAAUACAGUGGUGUACGACAUUUACGACCGUACAAAGCCUCAUAAGGUGCCAUUUUGAUACUAGAUUGAAAGCUAUUAUUAUAAGCAAAUUCAAUCAAAGGUAAGUAUCGUUCCCACGUACCUUCAAACUCGAGAAUGCAACAUCUCAACAUAUCCUCAAGUAUCUGAAUGAUUCGUUCAGAUUGACCAUCUGUCUGCGGAUGGAAAGCUGUGCUAAAAUGUAGUUUCGUACCUAAAGCUGUGCUAAAAUGCACACAAAAUAAACACACAAAAUAAUAUUAAUAAUAUUUUUCUAAUUCGGAUUUGUGGUCCCGAAACCACUAUUCCGAUUAGGGUCAAAAACCGGGUUGUUACAAUUCUGCUUCUUCUGCAUCAUCAUCUUUGGUAGCUCGAAAUUCUUCAGCCCCUUACUUCCUAAUCUUAUCAACAGGUGGUCUCUCACUGAUGACUAUACCUGCAGCUAGGGAAACUACAUGAGGAACCUGUGAAUCCUGAAGGGGUGGAGGUCUUACACCCGGAUUCAUACGAACGAACUCGGCAAACCAAUCAUUCAUGGCUUGGAAGAAGGCUUCUCUAGCUCCUCCUCCCUGUCUAACUGAUGCAGGUCUUUCACUAACGUUAACAUCUAGUGGCACCGUCCUUUCUGCGGAAGUAGGCGCAUUACUCUCUACUUCAUCUGCACCAGCUCGUUCAGGAUCCGUAACUAUAAAAUAAAAUAUUUUAAAAUCGUCAAGAGUCGUCACACUAUCAAAAUAUAUAAGUAUGGCAUGUAUAGGUAGACUUUUAUUCAUACUGCAUAUUUCUGAGAACCGAUUAAACCUGCUCUGAUACCAACAAAUGUAACACCCCUUACCCAAGACCAUUUUCGGAGUCGAGCACGAGGCAUUACUUAUCUUAUCUUACUAACUCGAAGCAUAAAAACUUAUUUUAAAAAUUAAUUUCACUAUUUACAGCAAUCUGUCCAAUCGAGCAGCAGUUACUAAAUUAAUAAUAACUCGAGCUACGGAACUUGAAAUUUAACUUCGUAAAUUUUCACUGAAACUAGACUCAUAUAUCUUCCUACCAUAAAGUUUUUAGGAUUUUUUGUUUAGCCAACUAGUACAGUUUAUUAGUCAAAUUCUCCCCUGUUUCACCAAUCGAUUGCCUUGACCUCUUAUCACUAAAAAUAAAAUUUCUCAAUGUGGGAUUUUCGUAUAGUGCUACUGCUUGCUUCUACAAAAAAUAGACUCAAUAAGGAAUCUAUAAAUAUAAACUACAGCUCCUAAAUAUUUUUUUAAAAAUUUUAAUGAUUUUCUAAACUCAAAAUAGGGGUCACCAAAAACUGUUCUAACCCUGUCUCACCAAAAUUCACAUAUCUUAAAAUAUAAAAUUCAUUUUGCUACACCGUUAUUUUUAUCUGAAAAUAGACUCAACAAGAUUUAAAUUCAUAUAUCAUUCACUCUUUAAUUCAUUUUAUACUAUCCUAGGUGAUAUUUCAAAGUCACGUCGUUGUUGCUGCCUGAAUUCUGUUUCUUUGCAAAAUUGUACCAUUUUAUGAUUUCCAUGCAUAGUUUAUCACUUACACUCUUAUAACAACAAACACUUCCAUACUUCACCAUUUUAGCAACCAUUCAUCAUCAACUACUUACAUAUCAUUCUUUAUCAAGAUCAUAAAUACAAACAUUUAAAAUAACUAAAUCCCUAUACAUUCCAUACUCAACAUGGUUCAACAUAAAAAUACCGAGUUGCUGUGGCUGAUAGUGUGGACGAUCUCCGACUUCUUUAGGAUCCUUGAAGUAACCUUGCAAUACUAUAAGAGAAAGAGAAAUAAAAGACGUAAGCAUAAAGCUUAGUAAGUUUACUAGCAAAUAAAUAACAAUAUUUAACUCAGAUAAUUAAACUCAAGUGUCUAUAUCUCUAGUUUACUCUUUAGUUAAUCCCAUUCUAGUUCUCUUGCUUGUUUACUUAGUAUACUUGUGUGCAUAACUUAAUCUUCUCUUGCUGUAUCGUUGAAUAUCAAUUGAUAAUAUAAUAAGUUCUUAACUCUUAUAACUUACCUGAACUUGCCAUUUAUGUUUUUAACUGAACUUUCCUGAACAUGAUUCGUUAUUUAGCCCGUUGAGCUACAUUGGAACAAUAAGGAUACUCGGGUCUCUUCUGAUAAUAACAUGCCAAAGCCAUGUCCCAGACAUGGUCUUACAUGGGAUGUACUCAUGUCGGUGCCCAUUCCAUGUCCCAGACAUGGUCUUACGGGGGACCUCUCAUCUCGGUGCCAAUGUCAUGUCUCAGACAUGGUCUUACAUGGGACCUCUCAUCUCGGUGCCAACACCAUGUCCCAGACAUUGUCUUACAUGGGACCUCUCAUUUCGGUGCCAACGCCAUGUCCCAGACAUGGUCUUACAUGGGACCUCUUUAUCCAAAUGUCAUGACAUUCGUAUCCAGUAUUAUCCUUAUGUAUCAACGGGACUUUUUAAUUUUAAUUCUCUAUCAUUUCAUGCUUGGAUAAUCAUCAAAUAAAUUCAUGAAAUAAAUUCAUAGUUGCUGGAAAAUAGCAGCAUUAAUAAAAAUUAUUGAAAUAUUUCAUUUAUUUACCGUAAACUUACCUUGGUACCGAAUAUAGCCCAAUUCACCAACUUAGUCUUCAACUUUAUUCUUUCCUUUGUCUAACCUCGAGUUUCAUUCUUCUUGAUCUAAAAUAGAAAAUUUAACUUAUUUAAUACUCACAUUCAUCAAAACAGCCCUCGACUCUAACUUUUCAAAAUUAUGAUUUUGCCCCUAAACUUUUACAUAAUUACAUUUUUCCCCAAGGCUCGAAAAUUCAACUUCAUCUCAUAUUCUUAUGUUUUAUGGCAUGCUGAAUAUUUUUCUCUUCUAUGACAAUAUCAAAUUCUCACUCUAACACUUACUUAUGUACAUUAGAGAUUUUUACCGAUUAUGUCAACUUACUCGUUUUUGCUUAAAAUCGGCUAACAAAAGUUGUUUAACAUAAUUUAUAGCUUCAUAUUCUAUCAUAAAACAUCAAAAUAAACACUUUUCACCUAUGGGUAUUUUUCCAAAUAUAAACCCUAGGUUAAAUUAUUGCUAGAAUAAGCUAAAUUAAGUUACCGGGACUCCAAAAACGUAAGGAACAUUAAAAACGGGGCUUGGGAUCACUUACUAUGGAGCUUGGAAGCUUGAAAACCCUAAAUAUGGCUUACCCCCUUGCUGAUUUCGUCCAAAUGAAGAAGAUGAGCAUAAUUUGUCAUCUUUUUCCCUUUUAAUUCAUUUUAAUUACUAGAUUACCAAAUUGCCCCUAACUUAAAAAUUUCCUAUUUCACUUAUCUCAUGUCCAUUUUUGUCUAAAAACUUAACCAAUGGUCUAAUUACCAUAUAAAGACCUCCAAUUUAAAGUUUCAUAACAAUUGGACACCUCUAACAUGUAGAACUCAACUUUUGCACUUUUUGCAAUUUAGUACUUUUGACUAAAUUGAGUGCCCAAACUUCAAAAUUUUCGAAUAAAAUUUUCAUGAAAUCAUUUUGUGAAAUCAUAGACCAUAAAAAUAUAAGAAAAAUAAAAUUUUCCUCAUCGGAUUUGUGAUCCCGAAACCACUGUUCCGAUAAUCUUAAAUUUGGGCCAUUACAUGAUCACCUUUUUACUAGCUCAUACAUCUCCUACAUCAGACCUUACAUGCAUGCUUACCAAACUUUAUUCUUUUUAACAAAACUUUAUACAUAUCAUCGUAGCACAUCUUUCAUCUUUACUAAACUCAUAUUUUUACCAAUUUCUGUAGACAUCAUCAUCAUCAUCCUAUAUAUAUGCUUCUUGUUUGAACAGUUCAUAUCAAAGAGUCAAGAUAGAGACCCACUUGACACUCACCUACUGCAGUUCAAAGCUCUAAACUUAACCAUCCUUCUCAAACCAGCAGUAAAAACUGCUUAUAGAACAUAGAAUCACCAUUAAAAACCCAUUUACAUACAAAUUACUAUCAUCUUAAUCACUUUUCCACUGUUAAUUUAUAAAUAAGUGUUAAGUAGUAAAUAAAUAAAAAAAUUAACUAAGUUUUCAAAAAAAAAGUCACUGUGACGAGAAGAAUGUUAAAAUUAAUUGGUGUUUGUUAACUCAUAUGUUUUUCUAAAAAUGGGUUAAGUUUUCUUCUGAAAUAAACAAAUGUUUUAAAAUGAUUGUUUUAUAAACUCCGAUCGUACUAUCCCAUCUUGGUGGCUGAUGUAAUAUCCCAAAUUCAGGUCUAACAUCUAAGUCGGGUUGGAUAGGUUACAAUAUAUAUAGAAAGAUUGAUAAAUAAUGCAAACUUGAAUACAAGCAAAGAAAGAAAUCAAUCAAUGUGAAUGACUAACAAGUUUAAAAUCAUAUAUUUGCAUUAUAUUUUGUAAAGCACAAGAUUGUCAUGGAAUUAGACAAUUUGUUUUGAUAAUGGUUAUAUUUUAUAUAGAUUUACUUUUAUGCACUUUCAUAUUGAGUUGAUCAAAAGUUUUGAAACUUUAUAGAAAAUUUGAAUGAAAGAGCAUAUUGAUAUAUAUGCUAUCUUGAGUGUUGAAUUAAGCAUUCUUUAGUAAAAGAGUGUACAUUUCGCACAUGGUAGGUGUGUUGGUUUCUUAUAUAUUAAUUAAGCACAAAUUAAAGAAAAAUAAUAUAUAUCACCAUAGUGUUGUAAUAUUUUGUAUAAUUUGUGAAAUUAUACAAGCAAAUAAGUUUACCUAUCUUGUUAAAUAAAACUCAUUAAGUUGGUUCUUAAUCUUGAAGAAUUAAAUAGGUUGGCUUCUUUAUUCAUUUUAUCCAACUACAAGUUAGAUUAAAGUUGUGGAAAUAGAAUGGUUGAAAAUUUGUGUUAAUGAGAAUUAGAGUUAUGGCCACAACUGAUGCCAACUAUUUCCUAAAAACAGGGAAUGAUGUCCAAAAACAUGCUGUAAAAUAAAAAUUUGGACAUGUUAGAAUAUGAAUUUAUUAUAUUAUAGUUUCAAUGUAAUACCCUUAUCCCAUCUCUGUUGCCGGAUUAGGAUUUCAGAGUAUUACUGAGAAAAAUAGAACAUUUAACUUUCCAACAGAAACAAUUGUACAAUUAAAUACCAACAUAUAACAAUUGAAUCUAAUCAUGGCAAAUAUUACACUUUUGGACCUUGAAUCGAGCCUAUGGGGCCCUAGAAACAGUUUAGGAACAAUCUGGGAUCAAAUCAAAACAAAUCAGAACAUUUUGAAAAAACAUAAAAAUUUAGGAAUACAGAGGUCACAGGCCAUAUGGCCAAGUCGUGUGACAUAGCCUAGAUUGUGUAAACAUCCGAAGUCAGGACACAUAGCUGUGUCCCAGCCUGUGUGUCUACUCAUGUGUAUAUUUGAAAUAGGGUCACACAGUCGUGUUGCAGACUGCCAAACGUGUGUGUAUUCAAAGUGAGGUCGCAAGACCAUGUGGCCGACCGUGCCACAAACUGUUUUGAGACACAAGGUCAUGUCUCAGACCGUGUAAAACAUGCACUUAAAAUAAUAAAUACACACGACCGUAUCUAGUGACUAUGUGUGGCACAUGGUCGUGUGGUAGCUUGUGUCUCAGGUCGUGUGCUCCAUUUUUAACCCCUAAAUCAAGCCAAUCAAGCAUCAUUUCUUAUACAACAAGACAUACCAUAUCUAACUAAUUUUACAUGGUUAAAAACACAUUCAAAUCAACAAAUACAUGCCAAAAUUUCGUUCAUCCUAUGUCUAACCAAUAUGCCAUCAAAAGGCACCUCAAUCCAUACAUCCAUUCAACUCAAGAACAAAGUUACAAUAAAUGAACAAGUUUUAUCAUUAGUUAACCAUUCAUGCCUAAAACCACUAAUCUAAUUGACCAAAAUAUGGGCAUACUCAACAAGCAACCAUUUCAAAACAUCAUCAUCAAAUCUUUAUAUACCAUUUAUGAUCAACUUAAUUAUAUUCAACACAAGUACACAUCCAAAAUCAAGCACAUCACUAAGUAUGCCAAAAUAACUUAACUAUUUACAUAUCAACAAUAAGACACCAUAUCCCAAAAUGAAAUAAAAAAGCUACCAAGAUGGUUGGAUAGUGUGUGCUCCAAAACAAUUCAUCCGGUUAGUCCACAAAACGCCAAAUCAACCAAUAUAGAUAAACAAAAAGGUAAGUUCUAAUUCUUGAUAUUCAAAUGCAAGAUCACACCACAUUAGUAUAUAUUUAUUUACAUCAUAAAUGAUACCUUCCAAAAUUCAUAACCAAUUCAUCAUCCACAAUUUCUCAAUACAACCAUUAAUAUUUAUAAACAAGAACUUCAUAGUAACAUUUAUCAUUUAGUAGUAAUAUAAUUAUCCAACAAAAUUGAACAAAUAAAUGCGUUUUAAGUCAUUUGAUACAUAGCCUGCUGAACUAUAGUAACUUGACUCGGAUACUCAUGAUACUACAUCACACCAAAGGUAUCAAUGAUGCAUAACAGAGGCACCGAAGUGCAGACAAAUGCAUGAAUGUGCAAUCAGAGGCACCGAAGUGAAAACAGAUGCACCAAAGUACAAACCCGUACGAGUGCGCAUUAAAACCCUAUUGGCAUGCUAAUCGUAUCCUAAUUGUUUACUACGUUCAACUGGGCAUUAUACUUAAAAUCAUAAUAUCAAUAAAUCCAUCAUUUAGAGGCACUUCUUAUUUCCGUACACAUACUAUAAAUAUGUAACUUUCAUUUCAAUAAUAUGCAAUAACAAUAAUUACCAUCAUCAAACAUUCAUUUUCUAUUUGUACUUAAUUGCAAAAUUUAAUAAUAUAUAAGUAACUCAUGAAAUUUCACAUAUAUACCAUUAACUAGAAAACAAUAAUAUAAUCAUAAAGUGACACACAUAUACAUAUUAUUACACUAUGAACUUACCUAAAAUCUACUUUCGAUUAAUACACAGGGACUACUCCGCUAUUUUUUCCCUUUUCUCGGUUAUUGUCUUUUUGACUCGGUUCUUGAUCUAUAUAGUAAUUAAAUUCAAUUUAUGAAAUUCACAUACAUUUAAAACUCAAUUCAAUGCAUGAUACCCUUAUGUUUUCAUUAUUUUCACAUUUUUCUUAAACUUUUACAUUUCUCACAAUUUAGUCCCUACAAAAUUUAACAAAAUUUUACAAUUUUCCAUGUUAGUUGAACUUCUUUCGAAACUAGUACAAUCCCUAAUUAUUCACAAUUCACAAAAUUUCUAUGCAAAUUUUAAUAAUUCACACAUUGAUCAUUAAACUCAAAAUUAACACAAAUUUUUUUACAAAAAUAUCCUAAUCAACAUUCAAAUAUGUACAACUACCAUUAAAAAUCAUGAACACCAAAAUUCCAUUACUAACCAAUCCCUAAAACUUUAACAUUUUUAUAAUUCCAUCCUCGGGUUUAAUAGUUUAAGUUACAACGAGUUCAAAAACGUAAAAAUUAUUAAAAACAGGUAAGAGAAACACUUACAUGCACCAAUUUGCUAACCGAAACUUCAAGCUCCAAAAAUGGAGUUUUUUUUUUCUUUUUCGGUGGGAGAGAGUUGAGAAGAUGAUGAUACCAUUUUUUUCUUUUGUUUCUUUUCUUUAAUCAAACUAAUUACUAAAUUAUCCUUUUAAUCUAAACUAAAUUAUUAACAUAGCAUGUCCGUAAUUAUCCAUUAACUAACCAUAAGGUUUAUCUAUCAACCAAGUCCAUUACUUUAGUUUUUCUUUAAAAAUCAAGCACAUUUAACAAAUAGAAGCCACUUUAGCAUCUUUUACAAUUUAGACCUUUUUACUAAAUUAACUAAACAGACAUUAAAAUUUCUUAGCCAAAUUUUAUUAUGACUCCAAUAUAACUCUAUAAGCAUAAAAUAAACAUAAAAUACUAACUCAUUUGUCGAAAUUGUGGUCCUGAAACCACCUUUUUUGAUACCACUGAAAAAUGAGAUAUUACAUUAAAUCUCUAAUUUAUGAUAAUGAAUGUGAGAGAAUAAUUUUCUUUGUUUAGAAAUACUAAUCAUUUUCUUUGUUUAGUAAUACUACAACUAGAAUGUGUUUCGACCCUAUUAUUAGAAACUAAUAAUGGAAACCCAACUUUUAAUUAGAAACCUCUAAUUUUAAAGUUUAAUAGGUAACACCCCGAAUUUUGGCCCUAGAAGAAAUAUGUUUUGAACAAGGGAACAGUUAGGAGACUGCACAUAAAUAUUUAGUUGUGCAAGGAAGUGACAUAAAUGAAUGUCUACUUCAGUGGUUGAGUGAUUUAGGAGUGUUUGGAACUGUCUGAGAAGUCAGGGAUUCAAGCAUUGCUUAUGCAAAAUUUUUAUUUUAAGUGAAUAAAAUCAUUGGAUCUAGAUAGUAAGUUCUUAAAUUAUUGUGGUUAAAAUAUGAUGCAAAAGAGUUGUUGGUCUAGUGGUAAGGGGUGUGUGGAGUGCACAUAGGGCCUAAGGUUCGAGUGGUGGCGCAUCAGAAAGGAAAUAUUUAUUUUGCUACUUGAGCUGUUUAGGUAGUGGAGUUGGACUGAAACACAACUAAGGGGAGUUUGCAUAGAAUUUGAAUGGAGUUGUUGGGGGAGUUGAGGAGAAACCGGUAGAAUAAUUUAAGGAGGGAUAAGGGGAGAGAUUUUAGGAGAAAAUCAAGGGAAGUGAGGGGAGUGAAGAAGUGUGCCGAAAGUGGACUUUGAUACUCAGGAAAUUUGGCCAGAAGGGAUACUGCUCAUUUUGGUAUACUUUUCAUUUCGGUUUUGUGUAGUGUUUCUCUCUCUUUUUGCUUUUUGGUGCCGAAUUUUUGCUAAGAUUUCGAGUACCACUCGGGUUUUUCUUUUGCUGCUUUUUUCUUUUAUCAUUUCUUUUGUUUUGGCCGAAUUUCUUUUUAGUUCCCUCCUUUGUCGAAUUCUUUUCUCUCUUCUCUUUGUUGCUUCUUUUCAUUUCUCUAUUUUUCCAAACCUUGACCGAACAGUGUUGAAGUAGUUCUGUGUUCCAUCUUUUGUCUAAAAUGCUCUUCUUCCUCUACUCCUUUUGAUCAACUAUUUGUCGAAUAUUGCCUUCUCUCCCCUUUUAUCUCUUUAAAUUUAUUUUCGGCUUGACAACAAUUCUCUAACAGUUCAAAUUUCUUGAGGAGUGAAAAAGUAUCGCAUAAUAUUAAAGUCAUCGAAACCUUUCUCUCAUCACUCGAUCAAAGGUAAGUAUGUAGGCUAGCAUUCUAAAGUGUAGGCUGAGUGCUUUCUAUGGUUUCAUAAGUUAUUAUGUUUGGAUUUAAACCACAUGAAUAAACAAUCCUAUUUAAUAAAAUCCGUUUGUAAUGCAGAUAUCCAUCAAAGAGAUUGUAGUCAACCUUCGUCAGUGAUAUAAGUAGGCUAAGUCACAUUUGACAAUCGAGGCUUUGGUGCUCGUGGAUCUUAGAGUGUUUUCACAAUCAGGUGUGUAAACACCCCACUGUAACCGUAGAACGACAAAAAGCUAAAAGGCCAAAAAUACGGUGUUUGAGACCACACAGGCGUGCGAUCUCUCAUGUGGUAAGCCCAACCCACAAAUCAUGGCCGAUAGACUGUAGAGGCCUCCAUGAACAUUUCCAUGGGCUUAGGCCGUAAUGGGCCACGUUGGGCCGAAAUGGGUCGUGUGGGUUCAAUAGGCUCGUGGGCACCAUACAGAUGAGAACCACGAUUUGUGAAAAAUACUGGACUGGGCUAUGAAGAUCUCAUAGCCGUGGAAAAAUCUGGGCUGAACAGGCCGCACAAGCGUGCGGGCCUACUUGGGCCGAGUAAUGGGCCUUAGGCCCAUUUGUACCAUUAUGACCAUUUAGGUUACCUGAGUCGCUCGAGGUAACUACGGACCUUUCGAGAGGUCGAUAUCUGCACCAAGACCCAAAAUAGGUAAAAUGAUCGAAAUACCCCUAUAGAGUAAAAUGACCGAAAUACCCCCAAAGGAUAAAAUGAUUGAAAUACCCCUAUAAGGUAAAACGAUCGAAAUACCCCCGUAGGAUAAAAUAACUAUUAUACCCCUAGAAGAUGAAAUGACUGUUAUGGCCUUAUGCUAUGUAUGACUGUUUUGCUCUAUGAUAUGUAUGACUAUGGUUGAGCAUGACAUUUUUCAUACACGUAUGAUAUUAUGUCAUGAUAUAUUGCAUGGGGAUGGAUUGUUAUAUUUGGAGGAAGUGUACUGUACUGACAAGGUUGCACGGGUCGCCCAAGACGACUGUGGACCUACUGAUGGCUAUAUGCCAUUUAUUUUACUGGCAGCUUUGCUGCAAUACUGUUUAAUGCUGCAACUGGUGCUAAUCUUGGUGUGUUUGGAUGGAUGGGUAGAUUUUAUCCCCCAUAUGGUGUGUUUGGCGGAACUGUAACACCCUUAACCUGAAUCCAUUCUGACAUUGUCUCACAAAAUUUAUUAUAUCUCAUAGUUUACAAUUUUAUUACUUACACCAUUUCUUCCAUGAGAAACUAGACUCAAUAAGUUUUAAUUCUAUAUUUUAUUCAUACUCUAAUUCGAUUUUCAUAAUUUAUGGUGAUUUUUCAAAGUGAGCCUACUGUUGUUGUCCAAAACUAUUUUAGUACAAGAUGUUUAUUACCAUGUUUAUAACACCCUUAUUUUCUUUCUCUACACUAUUUCUCAUCCCUUUCUCUUAUUUUCUCUUCACUUACAUAUUAAGAACAUAGGACCAUAUAUACAAAAAAACUUUACACUAACAUCAUUUCCAUACUUUUUCAAUAAUAUCAAACUUAAAAAUAUACUAAAAUCUUGAUGUACUUACCUUGUCAUAUUGAUUUUAAUCUUUAACUUGAUUUUCUCUCUCCUCCAGCUUCUAUUUCUUGAAUCUAACUUGAUAUUAUAGCUCCCCAUAGUCUCCUUGUAAUCUUUCUCUCUUGAUGGAUAUGGAAAUUCUUUUGAUUUCUAGAUGAAAAUAGUGAAUUUUUGGUGAAAGGACUAAAUUGUAAAGAAAGCAAAACUUUCUUUCUUCUCUUCUCCUCUUAACGUGAAUUGCAUGGAAAAGAUGGUGGGUUGGUUCCUUUUCAUCUUUCUUUCCACAUAUAUAUACUAAAUAAUAAAAUAAUAAAAUAUCAUUUAAAAAUCAAAUUAAAAUACUAAUAAACUAAUAUUUAUUUGUUUAUUUAAUCUAAAAUAUCUCCAACAUCAUCAUUAUCUUCUAGAUUUCUCUCUCUUCUAAUUGACCAUUUUGCCCUUCAUGAUAUUUUAAAAUUCCAUCCUUGAGUCAUCACUUAAUUUCGUAAAAUUUCAAUUUAGUCCCUCAAAAUUCCUCACCUUUUUUCAAUUUAGUCCUAAUACAUCCAUUUUCCUUAGUUUCUAGAUCAUUCCACCCUUAAAAUAUUUACACCAUUGGUCCUUCAAUUUUUUCAUAUUUACACUUUAACCCCUCAAUUUUUGAGUAUUUACUCUUGGGCAACAAAAUUUUUACGAUUUAAUCCUUUCUUGAGGUAAUAUGUCAUAAUAUACUUCCCAAUGUUGACAUAACUCCAAAAUUCCCUUUUUUGUCGCUUUAUUUCCUUAUUUUUUUAUAUCAAAGAUAAUAUCUUACUGUAAAAAUUUUUUUGGGGGGUAUUACAUUUCUCUCCCCCUCAAAAUAAAUUUCGUCCUCGAAAUUUCCUUAUUUUCUUUUGAUCAUGAACUUAUUUUUUCUUUAAUUCUAUAGUUCAUUUUUUUUGCAUAUAUUUACUUAGCUUAUCAUUUGUGUCUAUUCUUUAUUCUUUCAUUUCACAAUUUAUUUUUAAUUUAAUAUUUCAAACAUGAAUCAGAGAUAAACUUUUACCUUGUAACUAAAAUUAUUUACCUUUUUACCUGAGGCCCAGUGGACUAAAUAGAACACGUAGGAUAUAUGAAAUUGAUACAGAAGUGCUCUGUUAUACAUCAUUAAACAGAGAGCACUAAAGUGUUAUACGGGAGCAUAAAUGUGCUAAUAAUUGGAGAGCACUAGCGUGCUAUUAAUCAGAGAGUGCGCUAAGGUUCCUUAAUGAUAUACUACUAAUAUCCUAAUAGUUCUAAUCUCAUCUACUUGGGCAAAUUAUAUCAUGCAUGCAUACGACUUUUACACUUUGCGCAUAAUGCUUUUACAUACUUUACAAUUUAAACCUUGUACCAAUGAUUCGUAUAUUUAUACCUUCUCUACCUUUAAUACAUGUAAUAUAUUUCAAAAUUCACUAAUAAUCCAUAUAUAUCAUGUACUUCAUAUAUCAUUUUUACAUAUUAUGCAAUUUAGUCAUCAGCGCAAUAUUUCUUGUAGCAAUAUGUUUUUCUUUUAAUGACACAUAUAACAUUCAUCAUCGACAUGUAUUAUAAAACAUUUAUUCAUACUUUCAUGAGUUCCAAUUCAUCCUAAUCAAUUUUUUUUACUCAUAUACUUGAGUAUCACUUUCAACAUUAUCAGAAUUAGCUCGGUUAGGAAAACAUCUCUGUUUAUAAGUAAAACAAUUCUCAUCAGACUCGAGAGAUAUCACACUAUCACAGGUUACAUAAUGGCAUGCAUUUCUAGACUUCACAUAAGCUACGUUUGGUCCAAGAACCGACUAAAUCGUAGCUCUGAUACCAAUAAAUGUAACACUCUUAACCCGAAUCCAUUCUGACAUUGUCUCACAAAAUUUAUUAUAUCUCAUAGUUUACAAUUCUAUUACUUACACCAUUUCUUCCAUGAGAAACUAGACUCAAUAAGCUUUAAUUCUAUAUUUUAUUCAUACUCUAAUUCGAUUUUCAUAAUUUAUGGUGAUUUUUCAAAGUGAGCCUACUGUUGCUGUCCAAAACUAUUUUAGUACAAGAUGUUUAUUACCAUGUUUAUAACACCCUUAUUUUCUUUCGCUACACUAUUUCUCAUCCCUUUCUCUUAUUUUCUGUUCACUAACGUAUUAAGAACAUAGGACCAUAUAUACAAAAACUUUACAUUAACAUCAUUUCCAUACUUUUUCAAUAAUAUCAAACUUAAAAAUAUACUAAAAUCUUGAUGUACUUACCUUGUCAUAUUGAUUUCAAUCUUUAACUUGAUUUUCUCUCUCCUCCAGCUUCUAUUUCUUGAAUCUAACUUGAUAUUAUAGCUCCCCAUAGUCUCCUUGUAAUCUUUCUCUCUUGAUGGAUAUGGAAAUUCUUUUGAUUUCUAGAUGAAAAUAGUGAAUUUUUGGUGGAAGGACUAAAUUGUAAAGAAAGCAAAACUUUCUUUCUUUUCUCCUCUUAACGUGAAUUGCAUGGAAAAGAUGGUAGGUUGGUUCCUUUUCAUCUUUCUUUCCACAUAUAUAUACUAAAUAAUAAAAUAAUAAAAUAUCAUUUAAAAAUCAAAUUAAAAUACUAAUAAACUAAUAUUUAUUUAUUUAUUUAAUCUAAAAUAUCUCCAACAUCAUCAUUAUCUUCUAGAUUUCUCUCUCUUCUAAUUGACCAUUUUGCCCUUCAUGAUAUUUUAAAAUUCCAUCCUUGAGUCAUCACUUAAUUUCGUAAAAUUGCAAUUUAGUCCCUCAAAAUUCUUCACCUUUUUUCAAUUUAGUCCUAAUACAUCCAUUUUCCUUAGUUUCUAUAUCAUCCCACCCUUAAAGUAUUUACACCAUUGGUCCUUCAACUUUUUCAUAUUUACACUUUAACCCCUCAAUUUUUGAGUAUUUACUCUUGGGCAACAAAAUUUUUACGAUUUAAUCAUUUCUUGAGGUAAUAUGUCAUAAUAUACUUCCCAAUGUUGACAUAACUCCAAAAUUUCCCUUUUUGUCGCUUUAUUUCCUUAUUUUUUUAUAUCAAAGAUAAUAUCUUAGUGUAAAAAAAAAUUUUUUGGGUAUUACAGGAACAGAGUGGUGUGUAGAGGCUGGAUUGGGUAGGAUUUCUAACUGCAUAUCUACACUAAUUAAUGAUUUUGUAUUGUUACUACAUCGAUUAAUGAUAUUACAUACUGUUUACUGCAUGACUGAUAUUUGUUGCUGUUAUGGGCCAAGGCCCCACUGAUACUAUUACUGAAAUUGGGCAAAUGCCCUAUUGAUUAUUGGUAUUGUGAUGGGCUCAAGCCCAAUCGUUUAAUGUUACGGGAAAGGGCUUAGGCCCACACUGAACUGGACUGUUACUAUAACAGGCUCAGGCCCAAACUGUAUUUAUCUAUUGUUUAAUUGACUACUUACUUGUUAGGGGAUUGCACACUGAGUUUUCGUAAACUCAACCCGUUGUUUAACUGUACAGGUAAUCCCUAGUUGUAGUAGGGUCAGUGCUGCGAGGGACUCGAUGAUGGCCACACAACUGCAUCAGCUUUUGUUUUUAGCCUUUGAUUUAUAAGAAACUGAAUUUGGGUAUUUUUAUGUAAAAAGGCCUCUUUAAAGUUAUAAACUUUAAAUUGGGGUUUUUAUUUAUUUAGUUUGAUAUAAACUACUAGUUGUAGAAAAAGACGGGUUUUCAAAAGGUAAAUGUUUUCAAAGUUUCAAAAGGUAAAUGUUUUCAAAGACACCACGUUUUCGCAACAUUUCUAAAAAAAAACUUCCGCAAUGAAUGAGAUUUUGGAAAAUUUAUAACGUUUUAAAAGUGAUUAGCUUUUAAUGAUGCAUGCUUGGAAAUGAACAACCCGUUUUGGAAUCAUAGUUUAACAGCAAAAUGAUUAAUUGAUUUUAAAGAUUUCAACGACAACAAGUUUUACGCUAAACACCUUAAAGUGACACCGCCAGAUUCAACCAUAACUCCUAGGCCGGGUUUGGGGUGUUACAAUGUGUUUCAACCCUAUUAUUAGAAACUGAUACCCUAUUAUUAGAAACUGAUAAUGGAAACACAACUUUUAAUUAGAAACCUCUAAUUUUAAAAUUCAAUAGGUAAAAGCAAGUUAUCGUUAAGUGCCUGUGAUACGCUAGUAAAACUCAUUCUAGAAAAAAAAGUUUAAUGGAAACAAUUGUUAUCCAUUGCGUAUAGAGGAUGAAUUUGAAUACUAUUAAUUAAGUUCAUUGUUUAUUGUUUAAAUGUCUAAAGUAAGGGAGACAUUAAAAGAACUCUACCUUUAUAAACAUAAGAAGUGGUGCCACUUCAACAAGUAAAGGUAGGGUCUCUCUUGUAAAUGUUUAUUAUGAACAAGAUAAGCACAUGAUCAUUUUAGUGCUAAAAGUGAACAACCUCUGAUAGAAAUAUAAACGAAUAUUAUGUAUAGUGUAUUUCAACUUCUAAUACUAGGAGUUGUGGUUCAAUCUUCGGACACCGACAACUUAUUAAAACUUUGAAAAGCAUCCGCUUAUUGAUGGUUCAUAUUGAGAGGUAUCAUCUUUAAUGCAUAAUAUUUGUUUGAGUGAAUGACCAUAAAGUAUGGUACCAACAUUUAAACUAAGGGUGAUUGUUAGUAGUUUAUAAUUUUGGCAGUAAAAAUAUUUUAUUAUGUAGAAAAGUCUAAUAAAUUAUAAUUAUUGGUCAAAUAGUUGUGUUGUAAAGACAAUUUUUGUAUGUAAAGUUGUCUUAUAAACUUUAUGUAAAGUUGUGUUGUAAAACAACAAAAUUAUAUGAAAAUGUAUCUUAUUAAAAGAUACAUCCAUAUGAAAGGGUAUCUCAUGAAAAGAUACACCUAUUAGAUGUCUAUAUAAAAGAUUUUUCUGUUAGUUAUUUAAAUUGUUUUGCUUGGAGUGUUGAGGGCUUUGUUGUAUCUUGAAGGUAUUUUAAAAUCUUAAAGAAAGUGCUCUACACACCUUAAAGUCAUUAUAUUUUAUAACAUUAUUUUAUUUUUCUAACUUUUAUUUUCCUAUUAUUUAUUUUUCUAACAGCUAGAAUAUAGGAAAAUUAUUAUGUUUCUAGCUAUAUAUUGAAUACAAGUAUGUUGGUGUUUAGAACUCGAACUUUGAUGGUUGAUCGAGAGAUUUGAAGCAGAAAGAAGAGACGGGAAGUUUUAAGUAGAAAAAUAAUUGAAGACUGGAAUAUAUAAUUGAUUUGCACCUCAACUAUUUAAAUACAAAAGUUCAAGCUAAAAAUAGAAAAAAAAAGUUCUAAAAAUCUGCUAAAAAUCUGGUAACAAAAUAGCAAACAAAUCAAAAAUCUAAUCUCCUAAAGUCAAGGAGAAUUAUUCAAACUUAGUAACAGAAAAAAUUUAAAUGGCAGCAAUCUUAAACACAUGAUCUUAACACUCCUCCUUGUUUAGAUGCUACAAACUCCAAGUUUCUUCCUGAAGCUUUCAAACUUGCUAAGUGGCAAUGGUUUGGUGAAGAUAUCUGCAAUUUGAUCUUCAGAUUUGUAGUAACAAAGAGACACAUCACCACUCUUUUAAACUUCUCGAACAAAAAAUAACUUGAUGUUAAAAUGCUUAGUCUUCCCAUGAAAGACUGGAUUGUUAGAGAUUGCAAUGGCAGCCUGGUUAUCAACUAGAAUCUUUGUGCUUUGCUUCUACUCCAUGUUUAGAUCAACAAGAAUCUUCCUUAACCAGAGAGCUUGGUUAACUGUUGCUGUUGCAGCCAUAAAUUCUGCCUCAACAGUGGAUUGAGCUACAGUUUCUUGCUUCUUCGAGCUCCAAGAGAACAUGCCUGAUCCAAGGCAAAAACAAUAACCAGAGGUACUCUUCAUAUCAUCAGUUAAGCCACCCCAAUCACUGUUAGAGAAACCAAUCAACUUCAAUUCCCUAUGCUUUAAAAACUUUACUCCAUAAUUCCAGGUCCCCUUGAUGUAUCUGAUAACUCUUUUUGCAGCUCUCAUGUGAGUCUCAUUGGGACAAUGCAUGAAUCUGGAGAGAAUACUUACAGCAUUCAAGAUGUCGAGUCUGGUUGUUGUUAAGUACAUUAGACAACCUACCAAACUCCUGAACUCAGCUUCAAUGACUUUGGCAGAACCAUCAUCUUUGAUUAGCUUCUCUUUUUGAUUCAUAGGAGUACUCAUUGCUUUGCAAUCUUCCAUAUGGAAUUUUCUAAGUAUCUCCUUUGCAUACUUUCUUUGACAGAUGAACACUUCAUCUUGGCUUUAUUUGAUCUCAAUGCCAAGGAAAUAAGACAUCAGAUCAAGGUCUGUCAUUUCGAAGACAUUAUGCAUUUCCAAUUUAAACUGAUUAACUUGAUCGAUAUUGCUCCUUGUAAUCAAUAAGUACAAAUAAGCAAGCUUUUUCCUUUGAUUUCCUUAUCUUCUUUUCUUUUUGUGCUUUAAUCUGUGCCACAGUAGGAUUUGCUGGAAGAGGUGGGACCUCGUAAUCCUCUUCUACAGGUUCCCAAAGAUCCAAAGCCUCUAUGUAAGUCUCCAUGCGAACUGCCUACAUCUGGUAAUUGUCUCCAUCGAAGACUGGUGGUGCAGCAACUGAAAAACUGGACCCUCCUUCCAUAUUAACACGCAAAUAACCUAACAAAUCCCUCAAGAAAAUAGCUCUGAUACCAAUUUGUUGGUGUUUAGAACUCGAACUUUGAUGGUUGAUCGAGAGAUUUGAAGCAGAAAGAAGAGACGGGAAGUUUUAAGUAGAAAAAUAAUUGAAGACUGGAAUAUAUAAUUGAUUUGCACCUCAACUAUUUAAAUACAAAAGUUCAAGCUAAAAAUAGAAAAAAAAUGUUUUAAAAAUCUGCUAAAAAUCUGGUAACAAAAUAGCAAACAAAUAAAAAAUCUAAUCUCCUAAAAUCAAGAAGAAUUAUUCAAACUUAGUAACAGAAAAAAUUUAAAUGGCAGCAAUCUUAAACCCAUGAUCUUAACAAAGUACUACUUGGAAGCCAACACCCACAAACAUGAUAAAAGUUAAUUUUGAUGAGAGUUUUGACAUGGAAGCAAGAAAUGAGGAAGAGGGUAGUUAUGCAGCAUUGUGAUGAUUUUUUAGUCUGACUAUGCAACCAUCCAAUUUAGGGUGCAUUCUCCAUUGUGGUGAAAAAGCACUUAAAGAACAUUUGGUUUUUGCACUUAAAAUGUGAUGGAAAAAUGUUUUUCCACCCAAAUACAAAAACUAGGAUAUAAAUGUUUUUGACUUUUAGCUUUUAUGUUUGGAAGUGAAAAUUAUCAAAAUAUCAUUAUUUAUAUUAACUAUUUAAAUGGUAUAUAAAAAUUAGAUUAAUUUAUAUUUUAUAUAUCAUUAUAUUAAAUUAUUUAAAUAUUAUUUAUUAUUAUAUAUUUUAAUAAUUUAUAUAUCAUCUAUUUUACAAAUAAUUUAUAUUAAUUACUUAAAAAAUAUUUGGAACUUAUAUUUCAUGUAUCAUUAUAUUAAAUUAUUUAAAUAUCACAUAAUUUAACUAAUUUUUUACUUUCCACUAUCAUGUCUAAAGAAAAGGAUAUUUUAACUUUUAACAAGAAUUUUUUGUAGCAAUGGAGAACACCAAAAAUUAAUAAACACACUUUUUCAUAGUAAUUUUCAACCACACUUUUCAACCGCAACCCUAAUGAAGAAUUAAUCCUUACUAAAGUUACCGAAGCACUAGCUUCCACCGUAGCCAUUGAAAUGGCGCUCCAAUUGGGAUUGCAACACAUUAUUAUUAAAGGAGAUGCUCUCCAAGUGGUUUCGGAGUUGAAGGAAGACAAAGGAGACCUACCAACAACCGGACCUUGAUAGCAAAGAGUUGAAUACUUGCUAAACAGGUUCAGCAAUGUAGGUUUCAACACAGGAAGAGGCAUGCUAAUGAGGUGGCACAUCAUCUGACCAAACAGGGCCUUAAUUGUUUUCCAUCUUUUGUUCAUAUGUUUGUUUUGAAAAGGUAAAACAAAUCCUCACCUAUUGAUGUUAGAACGGUUGAAUUGCUAAAAGCAUGCUGCAUGCAUAACCAUGCUUUAGGUUAGGCUUCAAAUUAAAUAAAUUUUAAAUUAUUUUUAUUUAAAUUUAAUUAUAAAAAUAAAUUAAUAUCAAUAGAAAAUUAUAUAAAAUUUUAAGAUAUUUUAUUUUUCAAUAAUAAAACGAAUCAUUCACCAAACCUAAUUCUUCAAUUUCUUUUUAAUUAGAUCACAACUCAAGCCAAGCUAACCAAUAAACACCCAAAAUCUACCAUCAUUUUCAUUUUCAUUUUUUUUUCUUUUGUGACAAAGUAGACAGAAGAUUCGGUUUGGAUAAGCUCUACGUUAUUAAGUCAAAAGCUGAAGUAAUUUUAAUCAUAAAUUGUUUUAUUUGUCUAUAAUGCAAAACAAUGACCCAGUUAGUACAAUAAAGCUUUAACUUUGUGGAACAUUUCAGUCCAAAAAAAAAAAAAAAAAGAAUUGUGGAAAUUUUAGAGCAGUUGACCAUUUCUUCGGAAUUAGUUUUCUCACUUCUUGUCCAUAUUCCAUGUAUAUUAUUUCAAGAAAUUAGGUUUAGAAAUUUGCAUAAUUCAACCAUUGAACUAAUAAAUAUUAAACAAAAAUUGGGUGGCAAAAAAAAUCUUAUUAAAAUCAUAUACUAUUACUAAAAUUUAUGAUUAAAUUAGUGUCACGAGUUAACGGGACAUUAACAAAUUAUAUUAUUUGAGGGUAUUUUAAUCUUUUUAUUAAAAAAGAUGAUGUCUCAAAUUAACUCACAAUCUAAUCUAAUUUUUCAUUUUAAUAUUGUAAAUAUUUCAUGUUUUAUUAUUAAUUUGUUUCAAAUUAUACAUUUCAUUAUUUAUUUUAUGUUAUUUUUAAACACAUCUGUAUUCUAAGUACCUAAUUUUCACUUAUGGGUAUCAGAGGCGAAUCUAGGGAGGCUGAUAGGGGUCUCGGUCCCCUUAAAAUAGAAAAUUAUUAUUUAAGCCAUUUAGAAAAUUUUAAAAUUUUAAAUUAGUAAAUGUAAAAUUACACUUUGACCCCUCUAAAAUUAUAAAAAUUUGAUUUAAUCCUUUAAAAAUUAUAAAGAUAUAAACUAUUAAAAAUAAAAAUUUCAUUUCGGCCCUGCCUAAAAAAUUUUUUUGACUUCACCCCUAAAGUAUGAUAGAGUUUCUAGUAUGAAUAAUUUUCUUUGGAAGUGUUAAACAAACAAAGGAGUUAAGUAAACAGUAGUUUUCAUACAGAAAUAUUCGGCGUUGAUGUUUCCCUUUCGAAUAAUUAAAUUAAGACUUAGGAAAAGGGAAAACAAUGAAAAAGAAACUAAAAUUGAGCUUAAUUUAUGGAGUUGGGUUAAAAUUUUAAUAUUUAAAUAUAAAAAUUCUAAUAAUUUGAUCUGGUCCGUUUCAUCUAGCAGACUAAUAAUAAAUCUUAAAACAUAUUAUAUUUUAAUUUAAAUAAAACCAAAACUAAUACACUUGACCUACAUCUACAUGUGAUCUAUGCUUCAUUUAAAUUAGUCUAAAUUAGACGAGAUCUUGAUUAGGAGUCAUUUAUUUAUAUUAUAAGUCCCUGAAACAUGCAAAACUUACAUUUAAAAAUUAAUAUUUUUACGUUGUUGUUAGAAUAUAGGGUUUGUUAAUGUUUUCGUGUGAAGUCAGCUGUUGACAUUACCAAUCAGAUAAUGAAAAGGAAACAUGGCAAUUAUUCCAUCCUAAUUGUCACCAAAUUAAGUUAAUCCAAAAAUUACCAAACGUUUAGUACUUCAAUGGUAGAGUCAGCUCUUUCUUCUAGUCUAUCAAAAAAAGUCAAUUUAACCCCUAACUCUUGGAUGGAAAAGUUUUUGCUAUGAACUUGUUGAAGUGAAUCUCAUGUGAUAUAAACGCAUCGCAAUCUCCGUGUGUAACUAAAAAUAUUUGAGAGAUUGAAUAAUUUAAAGGGGAAAAAAAAAGAAUUUACUCCCUCCACUAACAAAUUACUCUUGCCAACGUAUGUAUGAAAGUAAACACCUUUAAUUAAUCAACAAAUGCUAAAGUUCGAGGUUUAGAAUUAAUUAAAUACCAAUAUAAAUAGUUAAUUACUUUUUUGAAAUAAGGAUAAAUCAGUUUGUGAGGUUUGAAUUUUUUGUAUCUUAACAAUUGUUCUGACUUUAGAGUUUGAAGGUUUUUUUUUUAUCCAAAUUAACCUAUGAACUUAGUAAUUUGUCUCUCAUUAAGGUUUAAAUUUUUUAUUUAUCUAAGUUAAUUCUUAAAAAUCUUGAAAUUCGAGAAUAAUUGUCAAGUUAAAAAAAUUUAGAUUUCAAUAUGAGAAUAAUCUACUAGUUCGUAACCUUAAUAUAAAAACAAUUGUUAAGUUGAAAACUUAAUUUAAAAACAAAUUCAAACCCUUCUUAAGUUUACGAUUUAACCCUUUGAAAUAUUGCGUUAACUAGUAAGAGUAAGAAUUAUUUUGUGUUGAUGAUUAAAUAAAUAUUUAAGUGGAGAUCAAGUUUUACCUCAUUUGUCAAUUGUCAGGUGAAGAAUAUAUACCCCUAAAGGCCUAUCAAAAACGGACCUAUCUCUAUCUAUAUAUCUUAACUAAUUUACUAUUCAUUUUUAAUGAAAAUCAAUAAAUCAAUGAAAACGUUAUAAAAAGAAAACUACGUGAAUAAAUUAUAUGUGUAAAAUUGAAAUAUUUCUUAUUUUAGUACAAUGGUAAGGAACAUUACAUUUUUAAGGAAAUGAUGUCAGGUUCAAACCUUAAAGAUAAUAUUCUUCUUCUUGAGAAGAACAAUCCCAAACUCCAAAAUGAACCCUUAUGAAUUAUAUAAAAAAAUUUUGAAAUAUUUCUAUAAAAUAUCAUUAAAGUUUUUUAUUUAAAAAAUGUUAUGGGUAUACUUUUACCUCUUGUAAAAAAGUCUUUCAUUUCUCAAUUCUUAUGGCAUAGUAAAUUUAUCAUUAAUUUUCAUCUUUAGGUAAAAAAAAUGGUUAUUAUUUGUGUAUUAAAUAAUUGUUAGGAUAAAUUUUAAAAUUGUAUAUGAAUUUUGGUUUAAUGUUAAUUAUAUACAUUAAUUUUAAUUUUAUGUAAUUUUAUAAAUGAAAUUUUAAUUUGAUCCAAUUCUAACAAAUUAUUAACACAGUUAUUGAUAUAACAUCAUUUUAUGUUUAUAUGCUAUAUACAGAAAUAAUUAUGUUUAUUCAAUAUAAAAAUAAAUUGAUGUAUUUAUUUCUUUAAACAUAUAUGAUUGAAUCAAAAUUAAAACAUCGUGUAUAUAUUUGAACCACAAUUAAAAUUUUACAUAUAAAAUUACAUAAAAUUACAAUUUAUAUACGUAAUAAACUAAAAUUCAUAUAUAAUUUUAAGAUUUAUGUCCACAAUUCUCUAAAGCUAAACGGUGAUGAUUACCAUGGAAAUUCAAUGUACUUAACUAAUUGGUUGAUAGGAACAGGCAUGAUGAAAUCCAUGAUGGGAAGAGAGAGAAUUCAAAAACUGGAAUGCCCCCAUUAAUCCAUGCAAAUAAACUUUUUCGGUAUUACAUCAUAAUUCAUUUAAUUUUAUCAUCAUCUCUAUGCCAUAACCAUGUUUAAAGUAAAAUACUUAUAUAAAUUGAGACAUUAAUAGUUUGUAUUAUAUAAAUUAUGACAUCCAUAUAUCCAUAUUAUAAUUUUUAUGAAAAAUUAGAGCUGGCAGAUAAAAAAUGGCUUACUGAUCAAUGAAAAAUAAACUUUAUUUCUUGUAAAUUGACUUAUCCUUUUAAAAAGUAUAAAUAUUUUUUUAAAAUUCAUUUAUGAGUAAUUUUAUUAUUAUAAAAAUUAAUUUUGCAAAGUCUAAUAUUAUUAUAUUAAUAAUUUUAUUUUAAAACUAUUUAAAAAUACUAAUAUCAAAUAUUAUAAUGUUGAAUCCUAGUAACAUACAUAUUAAAUUAUUUAAAUUAUGUAAUAUUGCAAUUUUAUUUUAAUACUAAAUUUUAACAACAAUAAUUUUAAAUUUUAGAUCAUAUUUUUAAUAUAUUAUUGAAAAAUAUUUAUAUUAAUAUUUUAAUAAUAAAUAUAUAUAUUAAAAUUUAUAAAUAUUUAAUAAUAAAUGUUUUAUAGUAUAAAAUAUGAAUAUUUUAAUUAUAUAGAUAUGAGCAUUUGUUUAAAUCAUGUUUAGUUUCAUUUAUCUCCCAACUAUAAUGUGUUAUUAUACACCGUCAUAUAUAUAAUAUAUGUAAUUUAAGCAUUGUUUAUUAUUAAAUUUAUAUAUGAUAUUAAUUAUUAUAAAAUAUUAUCUUAUUAUAAAAGAAAUUCUAAUUAUCAAAAAGAAAUGUUACUUUAAUAUUUUGUAACAAGUAUAUUUAUGUUGGGCUUGUUUCAAUAAUAACUUUAAAAUGAUUUUAGAAAAAAAAUUGUCAAAUAAUAAAAAAAUAUUUUAAGCAAAAUAAUUCAAACACAAAAAACUAUCAACUUUUCCAUAAAAUCAAUCCAAUUUUAAGAAAACAUUUUGUGAAAAUUGUUUUAGGUAAAACAAAAGGAACCUAUAUUUUAUAUAGUAUUUGAAAAGUUGUUGUAUCUAGAAUUAUUAUCUUAAAUAUUUUUUUAGGUCUAAUUUUAAAUUUCAUCCCUUUAUGAAAAUUGAGAAGUUAAAUUUUCUAUUUUACUUUAUCAGUCUGUGCUUGAUUGUUUAUUAAUUUGUCGUGUAUAAAUGGUUAAAUUAUUGAUUUUUGUUAAUUACUAGCAUGUAAAUUGUCAAACUACUUGUUCUCAAGGGAACGGUAAAGUUUAAUAGUAUUAUCAAUUUAGAACAAUUUUUGAGUUUUUUCUUUUAUUUUUCAUGUUCGAGUCCAUAAUUACUCCUUCUAAUAAUGUCGUCUUUAAAGUUUGAGUUCGAAUUCAAAUUCUCUUUUUGGAAGUACAAUAUGCCUUAUAAUUAUACCUAAUACUUUUGAUUUUUGUAAAAUAUAAGAAUCAAAAUUGUGUAGUAGGAUUAAUUUCUAGAUUUUUUAAAUUUAAAAUUUAUAAUAUUAUCAAUCGCAUCACACACAAAACCAAAGAACAAGAGAAUCUAAAAAACACGUGGACCAUUAAUUUAGGAAUGGACAUUAUAUUUUAUUAGUGGAAUAAACUCAUGCAAAAUGGUUGGAAAACACAUACAGGAUUAUAUAUACUAAUCAUUUUUAUUAUUAAGCAGAAUCGGAAAUAAAUAAAUACGAGCGAAACCACUGAAUAAUACAGCAUUGAAAUGCAAUUUGUCUACAUCAUUAUUGUUCUUCACUUCAAACGCGGAGACUAGUCUAGGCUCCCAAUCUUUUGCUUUAUCUCUCUAGAUAUAUCCUUUUCAAACUAUCUUUUUGUAGCUUUAUUUGCAUCACAGCAUUAUCUUUUCCUGCAAACAACUGUUCAAUGAUUAAAACAUGCAAAACAUUCUGAAAUAAUGCACCCUUACCAGAUGACAAAAAAAAAAAAAGAUUCUAAUGUAUCUUACCUUGGAUUGGAGCACGGUCAAAGCCGUGGCUUAGUAGUGGUGAGGAGGAGGGGGUGAAGCGUAGACAUAAUGGGGUGGUGGUGGUGGAGGAGACUUGUAUUUGUAAACUGGAGGAGGAGGUGGUGGAGACUUGUACUUGUAAGGGUGCUUGGGGGGUGAUGGUGGGGGUGGUGGGGGUGACUUGUACUUGUAGGGGUGCUUGGGUGGUGACGGUGGGGGUGGGGACUUGUACUUGUAAGGAUGCUUGGGGGGUGAUGGUGGUGGUGGUGGAGGUGACUUGUACUUGUAGGGGUGCUUGGGUGGUGACGGUGGGGGUGGGGACUUGUACUUGUAAGGGUGCUUGGGUGGUGACGGUGGUGGUGGUGGGGGGGACUUGUACUUGUAGGGAUGCUUUGGUGGGGAUGGUGGUGGUGGUGGUGGGGACUUGUACUUGUAGGGAUGCUUAGGUGGUGAUGGUGGUGGUGGUGGAGACUUGUAUUUGUAAGGAUGCUUUGGUGGUGAUGGUGGUGGAGGUGGUGGGGACUUGUACUUGUAAGGGUGCUUGGGUGGUGAUGGAGGUGGAGGUGGUGGAGACUUAUACUUGUAAACUGGAGGUGGUGGGGGUGGAGACUUGUACUUGUAAGGGUGCUUGGGUGGUGACGGAGGUGGAGGUGGUGGAGACUUAUACUUGUAAACUGGAGGUGGUGGGGGUGGAGACUUGUACUUGUAAGGGUGCUUGGGUGGUGAUGGUGGGGGUGGGGGUGGCGACUUGUACUUGUAGGGGUGUUUAGGUGGUGAUGGUGGUGGUGGUGGUGGUGGUGGGGACUUGUACUUGUAAGGAUGCUUGGGUGGUGAUGGUGGUGGAGGAGACUUGUACUUGUAAGGAUGCUUGGGUGGUGAUGGUGGUGGAGGUGGUGGAGACUUAUACUUGUAAACAGGAGUUGGUGGGGGAGGAGAUUUGUACUUGUAAGGUUUCUUGUGUG
rnacentral:lncRNA from 1 species